AAAAUAAUGGAUCCCUAAUAUCUUAUUAUAUAUUUUAUUAAUUUUAAUGAAUUUUUAAUCUUGGUUUUACGGGUUUUGAUAUUUUCACUAAUAUAAUUUGCAAUUUCUUUCCUCACAAGAAACGGAGCUUCCCUUCCUUUUAUCAACCCCUCUGUUCUUCAUAUCCCACGCAUUCAACAAUCCGAGUUAACCAAACCAAGCCCCGGAAGUUCUUCUGCUUUUUUUUUCGAGUUUUUCAUCAGGCAAAACCAUGUCUAACCAAGCUGAAUCCUCUGACUCGUAAUUACCCAGAUCUCUCUUUUACCUUUUCUUCAAUGGGUUUGUUUUAGAUUUCGCUAUGCUGAUUCUCGUUUUGUCUUUCAGGAAGGGGACCAAGAGGGAUUUUAGUACGGCGAUCUUGGAACGAAAGAAGGCACCGAAUCGGCUUGUUGUCGAUGAGGCAACCAACGAUGAUAACUCUGUUGUUUCUCUUCAUCCUGAUACGAUGGAAAAGCUCCAGCUGUUUCGCGGUGACACGAUCCUGAUCAAGGUGUCUACUUUAGAUUUGGCUUUUAUUUAUUGCCAUUCUUAUUGGGUUCUUUUAGUUUUUUUUUUUUUUUAAUUUUUGCUUAAUGGGUAUUUGUUUAUGCUAGCUGUUUGUUGUGUUUUAGGGUUUAAUUUUCUCUAGCUUGUUUGAUAUUUGAGGGUUUUAUUUGAUGGAUCCCAUGGGUUUUCUAUGCUGUUCUGAAUGGAUCUUCGGUUUGGAUCUAUCUUGUGGUAGGUUGGAUGUUUUACAUGAUUUUUUUGUUGAGGGCCAAUGUUGUUUCUAUAGCAUCUGUUAAUUUUUUUAGGUAAGGAGGCUAACUUGCUAAGCUUGUCUGUGAAGAUUGUUUCUUUAUGCAAUAUUAGUUUGGAGGACAUUGUGGGAUUGAAGCUUGCUUGUUAUGUGGCAUGAAUAGUUACUGGAAUUGCAGUUCUUAUAAAUUUGAAAUUUCAAUGUCUUUAAGCUUAUAUCUUGCUAUAAUGUCCUUUGUAUUGUUCUUUUGGUCCACAGGGAAAGAAGAGGAAAGAUACUAUCUGCAUUGCUCUUGCAGACGACACAUGUGAUGAACCAAAGAUCAGGAUGAAUAAGGUUGUCAGGUCAAACUUGAGGGUUAGGCUUGGUGAUGUUGUCUCUGUGCAUCAGUGUCCUGAUGUUAAGUAUGGAAAACGUGUGCACAUCUUGCCUGUGGAUGACACAAUUGAGGGGGUUACUGGAAAUCUCUUUGAUGCUUACCUUAAACGUGAGUUUUUUCUUAAUCUUUUAUUCCCAACUUAUAUAUGGAAUGGUCUUUAAUAAUUUAUUUAUGGCAGUUUUGGUUUCCUAGGCAGGUUAAGAGGUAAAAUAGUUUCUUUGUUUGUUAAUCAAUCAUAGGAUAAGACAAUAAUAUAUUAUUGUUAAUCAAUCAUAAGCUCAUUCAUUGAUUGAUUAAUAUAAAUAAGACUAUAAUUGAUUGAUUGAAUACCAUAUUUUUAACCUUAUGGAGUAGACUUCCCGUAUUUUUAAAGGCAUAUAUUCACAGGCUUAUGCUUUCAAGGAGUUUGUUUUUCUUUCUUUGUAUAUACAUGUCUGAUGUUAAAAAUACUUUAUAGGCUGCUUUUUCUGUGUUUUAGUGUCUUUUGCUGUCUUUAUAUCGAUUUACCUGUACAUCUGGGGUGGAUUCAUGCCUGCAUCCUAGGUGGCUCAAUUAUAUGCAUGGACAUGUGUGCAUUAUAACCAAACUCUCCUCUAUCAUUUAUCAUAUGAUGAUAAUAAAUACCUAUUAACAUUAUGAGGAUUGGAUUUAAUGUUGAAUUAUUGACAAUAUUGUCCAUAAAUACUGACUAUGAUAAUUUUGCAUUUACAGCUUACUUUCUGGAAGCAUACCGCCCAGUAAGGAAGGGUGAUCUCUUCCUUGUGAGAGGUGGAAUGAGAAGUGUAGAAUUCAAGGUUAUUGAGACUGACCCUUCUGAGUACUGUGUGGUCGCACCAGACACUGAGAUAUUCUGUGAGGGAGAGCCCGUAAGGAGGGAGGAUGAGAAUAGAUUAGAUGAGGUAGGUUAUGAUGAUGUUGGUGGAGUGAGAAAACAGAUGGCUCAAAUUCGAGAAUUAGUGGAGCUUCCUUUGAGGCACCCACAGCUCUUCAAGUCAAUUGGUGUGAAGCCACCUAAAGGAAUUUUGCUUUAUGGACCUCCUGGAUCUGGUAAGACUUUGAUUGCCCGUGCUGUUGCAAAUGAAACUGGUGCUUUCUUUUUCUGCAUCAAUGGUCCGGAGAUCAUGUCAAAAUUGGCUGGAGAGAGUGAAAGCAAUCUCAGAAAAGCAUUUGAGGAAGCCGAGAAGAAUGCACCAUCUAUCAUAUUCAUUGAUGAACUUGAUUCGAUUGCUCCGAAGCGAGAGAAGACCCAUGGUGAAGUUGAGAGGAGGAUUGUCUCUCAGCUGUUGACAUUGAUGGAUGGGCUCAAAUCCCGUGCACAUGUUAUUGUUAUCGGGGCCACAAAUCGUCCCAAUAGCAUUGAUCCGGCUCUCAGAAGGUUUGGAAGAUUUGAUAGGGAGAUUGACAUUGGUGUCCCAGAUGAAGUUGGCCGUCUUGAGGUGCUUCGUAUCCACACAAAGAACAUGAAGCUGGCUGAAGAUGUAAUGUCUAAAAACUAAAACUUAUUUUCUUUCCUCAAAAAUCUUUAUCUCUUUCUCCGGUCUAAAAAAGUACUGAAUCUAAUUUACUUUCCCGACUUAUCACAGGUUGAUUUAGAGAAAAUUGCCAAGGACACCCAUGGUUAUGUUGGUGCUGAUCUUGCAGCUCUCUGUACCGAGGCAGCAUUACAGUGCAUCAGGGAAAAGAUGGAUGUGAUUGACUUGGAAGAUGAUUCGAUAGAUGCAGAGAUACUCAACUCUAUGGCUGUCACUAAUGAGCACUUCCAGACUGCUCUUGGAACAAGCAAUCCAUCAGCUCUGCGUGAAACUGUGAGUAUAAUGAAGAUACUGCUACUGAUGAACAGAUUCAUUGCUGAUUAUGAUUUUUUGGGGUCGGUUCUGUUUCCAAUAAAUUUUUUCUUGCUCUUGGUCAGGUUGUUGAAGUGCCCAAUGUCAGUUGGGAAGAUAUUGGAGGCCUAGAGAAUGUUAAAAGAGAGCUUCAAGAGGUAAUAGUGUUUACUAGUUUUGAUUACUUCCCAAAUUUCUUUCCUUUUUUAUCUUUUUAAAUUAAAAAAAAAAGGGGAUUAAUUUGUUACUUUGGCAUGCAGACUGUUCAGUAUCCAGUGGAGCAUCCUGAGAAAUUUGAGAAGUUUGGGAUGUCUCCCUCAAAGGGAGUACUAUUCUAUGGCCCUCCAGGAUGUGGUAAAACUCUUCUGGCCAAAGCCAUUGCCAACGAAUGUCAGGCAAACUUCAUUAGUGUCAAGGGUCCAGAAUUACUUACAAUGUGGUUUGGUGAGAGUGAGGCCAAUGUUCGUGAAAUUUUUGACAAGGCUCGCCAGUCUGCUCCUUGUGUCCUGUUCUUUGAUGAACUUGAUUCAAUUGCUACCCAGGUAUGUUCAAGGCUAAUUAAUUAUCUUUAUGGAUUAACUUUUAGCAGCAGAGCAUGUUGGUUUCUUACUUUCUGUGCGUGGAUUAUUCUACCAAUGAAAUUAUGCUUGUGUUGGUGUUCUUUGGCUUGCACUUUGUGUAAUGAUGAUUCAUGUUUAUAUAUUGCAGAGAGGAAGCAGUGUAGGUGAUGCAGGGGGUGCUGCUGAUAGGGUUUUGAACCAACUUCUUACUGAGAUGGAUGGCAUGUCUGCCAAGAAAACCGUUUUCAUCAUUGGAGCCACCAACCGACCUGACAUUAUAGAUCCUGCACUUUUGCGGCCUGGUCGACUGGAUCAGUUGAUCUAUAUUCCCCUUCCUGAUGAGGAAUCUCGCCAUCAGAUCUUUAAGGCUUGCUUGAGGAAAUCCCCAGUUGCAAAAGAGGUUGACCUCAGGGCUCUUGCCAAAUAUACUCAAGGCUUUAGUGGGGCUGAUAUUACAGAAAUUUGUCAGCGUGCAUGUAAAUAUGCUAUCAGAGAAAACAUUGAAAAGGUAUGAUUAUGUCUAUUUUCUCCCACAUUAAUUUAUUUUCUGUGCAGGAGAUGAAGGAAUAAAUUAUGUUUUUAACAAUGAUUGAAAUGGUGACAUGAGAUAUCUUUAUGUUUUCAGGAUAUUGAAAGAGAAAGGAGAAGAAGGGAGAACCCUGAAGCUAUGGAGGAAGAUGUCGAGGAUGAAGUGGCAGAAAUCAAGCCUGCGCAUUUUGAGGAAUCAAUGAAGUUUGCUCGUAGGAGUGUGAGUGAUGCUGACAUACGCAAAUACCAGGCAUUUGCUCAAACCUUGCAGCAGUCAAGGGGAUUUGGCAGUGAAUUUAGGUUUGCUGAAACUGGCUCCAGGGCUGCAGCAUCUGAUCCUUUUGCGGCUUCUGCUGCAGGAGCUGAUGAAGAUGACCUUUACAGUUAAAUUUCCUUCAUCUUUGUUUGCUUAGUUUAUGGUGGCAAUUUAUCCUUUUAAUUUAUGUUGUAUUAUAUUGACUGUAUGUUGUAAAAGCUCCUUGGCAACAACUGUUGAGCCAAAGGGAGCCUUGCCUGGCUACCCCUUGGAGUUCAAAAAGCAGGUGUUUGUCAUUCUGGAACUGAAAGUUUUUACAAGAUUCAACUUCAAUGUAAGCUUUAGGUUUACUUUUAUGGUUGUGGCAUCUUUCAGUUUGAGUUUAAAUUAUAUUAAGAUAUCUUAAAACAUAAAUAGAAAGAAAAAAGUGCAAUCAAGAUUGUGAUCAUCAGGGAUUGAAUUUGAGCAUUAAAAUUACGAGUUCAUCAUUAUUGAUUUAUUGAUAAUAUUCGUAAGUAUCAUUUAGAAAAAUUUAUAGUAGCUGACAACAUGUAACCAUCUCAAUAUCGAUGAGAUAUAAAAUGAAAACCAAAUCAAAUAUAUAUUAUUUUGUAUUUUAUAUUUUCUUUCCCUUUUCUCUCUUUUUUUUUUUUUUUCUUAUUUCUCUCGUUAUCUAAUAUAUAUCUUACUGACUUGAAUAUCAAAACAUACCUUCAAAUGUUAGCUCUGAUAUGUACUAAUUUUUUUUCUCUAUCAUAAAUCUGACAUACUUUCCAAUUUAAUCUCCAUCAAGCUUGUCAAUCAUCGAGAAUUACAUCAUGAUAUAUAAUUUUUCUUAUACUGUUUAGGGUUGGUAGUAAUGGAAAAACCUUGUCUCGGUAUAUGGAUGCAAAACUUGGGCCUUGUUCCUCAAAUCUAGUUAGCCACCAACUAGACUCAACAAAAACCAGCCCAAGCCAAGUUAGGGAUGGCCCGGUGCAGGGGAAAAGGGGUCAUGUUCCUCGAAACAAAGGCAUUGAAAUAUAUUUUGAUAAGAUAAGAUAGACGUGGGUGGCAAUUGUUGAUUAGACUAAGCCACUUGAUGGGAGACAACCCCACAUGAGAAAAUGGAGAUUAACUUGUAAUAAUUAAUGUGGCAUCAUUGUCCUUGCACUCUAGGCUUCUUUGGUGUUUGGUCUUUGCAAUUUUUGAUUAUAACUCCAUGUCGGUUGUCAAGUCCUACAAUAGUGUGACCCCAAAUCUCCCCCCCCUUCUUGGAAAAAUAACAUCAAAAUCGCUUGGAUGCUUUGGCAAUGGGUACUUUGCUUGUUUGGUUGCCUUGAAUAAUAUUAUUUCAAAAUUUUGGAUUUCAAAUUUUUUUAAGUUCGAUUCAAAUUAAAAAAUAAAUUUUAAAUCUAUCCAUUAAAUUUAAUUUAAUAAUAAAAAAUUAAAAAAUGAUUAAAUUAAAUUUAAUAUGUUUAUAUUCAAUUCAUAUAUAUAUAUAAAUAUAAAUAUAAAUUAUAUAUAAAAAUUAAAAAUAAAAAUCAUAUAAAAGUAAAUAUUAAAUUUAAUAAAUUAUAUAUUUUUUAUUUUUUAUUUUUAUACAUAUGUAAAUUAAUUUAUAUAUAAUUGACAUAUAUAUAAAAAUAAAAAAUUUAUAUAUAUGUGAAUUUAAGCCAAUUUCAGAUUUUAAAUUUUUUAUUCAAAAUUCAACUCAAAAUGUAAACGAAUUUAAAAUAUGUGUAAACUUAUUCAACAAAUUUUAAUUUUUUAUCUAAAUUUUUUUAAAAUUUAGAUAGACUUUCGAGUUUAGACAAGUGAUCUAAUUUUUGAAUAGAUUUCGAUAUCACUUUUUAAAAAUAAUUGUAUAAAUCAAUUAAAUUAAAUUUUAAAUUUAAUGAAAAUGUUGAAACAACUCAAUCUUCAAUUUUCAAUCCAAAAACCCAAACACAGCCUCGAUUUUUCUAUGUUGAGGGGACAUGAGUUGUUGUCAAUACUCAUCAAAUGCAUUUGAGAUAAUUAGCAUAAUAGUAACAAAAACGUAUAUCAAAUCAUAUCAUGUACCAAAUACUAGCAAUAAUGGUGAUGAGAGCACAUCAUAUCAUAUCAUACAUGAAGAUACCAUUCCUAUCUAGGGGCAUACCUUUAUAAUUAUACCCCACCACUUUACUCCUUUUUUCCGCAAAUUAUACUAAACCUAUAGUAAACCCAUGCAUCCUCCAAAUCCAUUGUAUUGCCAUGUCCUUUGAACUCAAAUUGGAUGUGCUAAAUAUAUUAUCAAGUUGUGUAUAUGACUUCAUAUAUCCGUAAAAGAUGCUGCUUUCUUACUAUAAAUUGAAAACAAGAUGAUAUUAUAUGUAAAAAACUUGUAAUCAUAUUGAAAAUGGUGUGAUCAAGCUGUUGUGAUGGAUUAUGGAGGACGGAUCAGAGAUAAAAAAAAUCAAUAGGGCGAAGAGAAACCCUCCUAGAUAGCCCAAUUCCCACAAGAAUGUAAAUUAUGGGACACCUGACAAGUGGUUGGAGAAGAUAACCUAAAAAGAGAUAAAACGAAAAGGGAAGAAAAAGAUUGGAGGACCACUCUCUUUUCUUUUUGCCACGAUAACCACCACGCAGCACUGUUUGAUUUCUUCCUCCGAUUCCCUUUUUCUUUGUUUCUUUGGUGUUUACCCACACGUGCAUCUCCAUGUGGAAAGUCUUGAAAGGCUACUGCACAGAAACAACUUGUAUGCCGCUGCUUUCUGCUAUUGAUUCGAUUGAAUUCGGCUAGCAGCAGCAGCAGCAGUACUACUGCUGCAGUAGCAGUAGUAGUAAAUUCCAAUCCCAUGCCAUGGUAAACACAAAAACAAAAACAACAAAACCCCUUCCCCUGUAUUUCAAUAUUGUCAGAUAUGCACGUGUUGACUCUGCUCAUUUAUGGGUGUCCCCUCCUUUCUUUGAAUUUCCAUAGUCCUAGUCGUAGACACGUAGUAGUAGAAGUAGCAGUAGCAUUUUUCUUUCCAUAUUUUGGUGCCCUAUCACAUCUUUCAACUUCGGGUCUUUUUGGUGAAGUUAGCUACCAACAAUGGUGAAAAUAUAUGUCUCGAGGUAGCCCAUGGAACUUCUUGAUAUUUCACUUUCAAAUUCAGAAUUUCAUUUUGAUUUUUUCUUGACAAUGUGGGCAUUCAAUCAACUUGUAACAAUGUGUUAAUGUGUGAAAUUGUUUUUUUUUUUUUUUCAUAAAUGGUCAAAACAUGAGUGCAUUUGAAUUUUUUUAUAGGAAAUUAUAAAACGUUGAUGAAAGCGUUGAUAUGGUAGUGUUGAGUUGAUGAAAUUAGGUCAUGAAUAUUGAAUUUGAUGGGGGGAGGUGUGCAAAGCAAAUGCAAUGACCAAGAAGGACUAAAAACGGCAGGGAAAGUGGGACCAAAGAGUGAGGGCCGCACGAGGGGCACUGAGAGUAGGGGUAGCUGUAGGGAUUGUACCCUCCCUCAGCCUCACUUCUCUUUCUUUACUCUAAGGAUUCUUGCUGUCGGCUGACACAGCCAUUGACCCACCCACAUCAUCUCUUGGCCCUUUCACAUCGCUCUCUCAUCUCACCAAAAUAUCCUAUUUUCCCUUUAGCUUUUGGCUUUGUCGGCGUGAUCCUCUUCCCCUUUACAUUUCCUGUGCUUUUAUACUCCCUUCUUAUUACAUACAUUCACAUAUUUUCUCCGUAGCAAAUUGGUUUCACAGUGACUAGAUAUAUCAAACACAAUAAAAAAUGAAAACAUGGAGAAGAAUCAAAUAUAUAGCACCAACUUGUUCUACCUACUUCAAGGAUAAUGUUUAUUUACUCAGCAGCCAUGCAUCUUACUUUUCUAAUAUAUUUCUUCAUUUUCCACCCCAAAAGUGUAAUGGAACAAGAGUAAAACGAGAUAAUAUAAUGAAAAAAAACAAAAACUAUGCUUACUAAAACUAUCAUGUAUUGAAUUCAUGUCUAUAUCAAAUAAACUUGAUUGCCAACCUGGUCUCUAAUCGUACUUCUAUAUCAGGUAGUAUCUUUUCUACUGUUGCUUGGAAGUGGAAGUAUAGUAGCUUUCCAGGCUUUUUUUUUUUUUUUUCUUCUUUGUAGAAAGCAUGAUCCUAUAGCUAGGUUCAUCUAGUUCAAGAUCGGAGUCUAUCUAGAGUACACUUUUUUUAACCACAAUUAUACGAGGAUGAAGUUCUGACAGCAACUGUCAUUUGACAUGUGAUCAUAUCCAGCUGCUAUAUAUAAAACAUAAUGUCAAUCUACAUGUUUUAGUUAGAAAAGUUAGAAGAUUAUUAACUUUAAAAAGUGGGAAAUUAAAGAUAAACUGUGUUUGAAAGUGGAAAAACAAAAUCAACUUGAUAAGAUUGUUUGAAGACAAGAGAAAAGCAUGAUUUGUCUGUAAUAUAGGGGAGUGCUCUUGCCCUGGAAGCAUUCUAAAACAAAUUUUUUUUGUGUCAUAUCAGCUAAGUGUUUCCCCUUACAUGUGAUUUUCAUUGUACAUAAUGGGAUCAUAUGUUGGCUAUAAUUUCAAAUUUCACGUGCAUGUGUUGGAUUAUUAAAGCUUUUUGUGUGAAAUCAUUAUGCUGCUGCUGCAGCUUCCACAUCAAACUACUAGUGCCCUUUCCAAAAACUAUAGUAAAAAGUUUUGAAUGAUUAAAUAGAUAAAUAAAAAAAAAAAAACCACCUGUAAACCAAUAUGCUGGCUGGUCAAGAAUUAGUCAAUUUAUGUAUUUAAGUCAAAUUAAAAACUCAAUUGGAAGGCUCUUAUAAUAUCCAAAAGUACAUUCUAUAAUUAAAUUCAUCUAAAUCUUUUUAAAUAGGCAAGAUGAUAUGAAAGUUUCGGAUUCCAAUUCUAAAAAAUGAUUUGUUUGCUAUAUAUACGAAGAUAAUAUAUAAAAUUGCAUAUAUUUGCCAUUGAGAAAUUCAACAAAAUUUUUUUUUUUUUUACAAACUUUCAGUAUGGUAGAAGUCUCAGAGUGGGUCCCCAGCAUGUACACUUGGUUAAGGAAACCCUAUAAUUAGUUGAAGAGUAUAUAUGCUUUAAAAAAUUUCCAUUUUCAUUGGAGGUUUUAUUUUGGAAUUGAAGGCUAUAAUUUGCAACUUGCCUGCAGAAGAGUUGUGGUUUUGUCACAGGAAAACUUAAAUUAUUCUUUUGUGAUGAUCAUGUAUAUGGUAUUGGUAUAUAUUUGAUGUAUGGUCAGCCAUUCCAUUUAAUCUGAGCCAUUGGAUUUGUGUUGCAUAUAAAGGAACAUUAAACGAAAACAUGGGGGGGUUGGGGGACAAAAGAAAAAAUAUAAACAAGUUGAAACUGGAGGAUGGUCCAAGAAAAUAAAUGUGAAAUUAGUGCUUGCUCUUGUCUGAUGUUCCCUAAGCAUAAGGACCUGGUGAUUAGGAUUGUCUGAAUUGACCAAAUCAUAUUAGAAUCUAGAGGUAUGGGGAUGAAUAUUGAUUAAUGCUCUAAUUAUUUAACCCAAUAUCAUUCAACAAAUUUGAAAUUCAAAUCUUAACACUUACAAUCUUUUUUUCUUUAUCUAUUUUCUCUUGUUUAAUAAUUAAAUCACAGAAUUUUCUCCCAAAAUGAAAUUCUAUAACAAGAUUGUCUUAGUUUAUUAGCAUUCCAUUUAUUGACAAGGAAAUGAGAGGAAACUAGUUCUUUACUGUAGCCUAACGAUAAGUACUAGAUGUUAUUAACAAAGAAAAAGGGUAGGAUUACUUUAGUUUAAUGAUUCAUGUGGUUGACAGUGCAAAAAGGAAGGUUGAAAUCUGGGAAAGUAGAAGCAACUGUCCUCUUUGUUUUUUCCCUCUAACCAAAGAAGAUUUCAUGUGAAGAAAUGGAGGAAAAAGGAAGAAUCUGCAAUUUCUAUUUACAGCAUACAGCUAUCACCUCUUGAAUACAGAGCCAAUAAAAAAAUCCAGGUCUAAUUCACAAAAAUUUCCUUUUUCAAUGGAAAUUGUUGUAGUUUGUACCUGAUGAGACCUGAAAUAGAUAGCUAAGAAAGAUAAGGAAUAGAAAGAAUGAAGAAAACAUGUAUAUGCGAAACAGUGAAAGUAUCAGCCAGGAAAAUUAAAAAAAAAAGGGAAUUUCAUUCUUCCACCAAUGAGAAAUGGAUAUGCUAUUGCAUAACUAAACUAACUCUUUAAGAGAAUUUGAUGACAUCCCAGAUUUUCCUUCAGUCCAAUCAAUCACUUUGACAGCUAAAAAAACAAGUUUGAACUUCACAGCAUUCCAAGAAAAGCAAAGCAAGAUGAAAGUAAAAGGAGCAACAAAAGGAAAGAAGAAGAGCAACCAUUGCUACAGUUACAUGGACUCGAGAAAUUAACAGUUUCCCAUUUCUCAACAAGAAGAUUAAGAGAAAAAAGGACAUCACCUAAGGAAUAUCCAAAACCUAAACAGGUCUAAAAUUUUAUUAGUAGAAGGCUAGACAAAUGAACUACUAGUAUUAAUCAAAAAUACUUCUUUUAAUUACACUCUCCUAUACAAGUAGAGACGAUAAACCCAAGCUGGCCUUUUCAAGGCUCGCCUCGUUCACGCCAGCAGACAAGCAUUGCUAUGCAACGACGGAGGAUGUAGAAUUUGGCUCGUUGUUUCUUAACCAAAUGGCUGCACUUUCCACCAAAAGAUCUGCAAGGCUCACAGGCGUGCUUGUUACUAAUAAAUCUUGUGUCCUUUUCUUUGCCUUCCAUAUGAAAAUGAGUAAGCUUUUUUUCUUGCUUGAGCCCUGUCUAGUGUUGUUCUUACUGGCACUGCUACUAGUAAUAGAAGAUGUAAAUAUGAAAGGAUAGAGGUUGAAUGAGCUUGAAGUGUUAUUUAUAUAGAAAGGGAGAGAGACUUUUUGAAUUAAGGGUGUUAUGAUUUGAUUCUGGGUUGGGCUCCUCUAAAUAAGGUAUAGACUGUAGCCACUGUAACCCACUAGCUGUCAGGGAGGAUAGAGCACAGCAGCAUAUGAGAGAGAAAAAAUAUAUAUACAGUAAGGACCAGUAUCAGUGUUCCUGCCAAAUUCACCUCAACUGUUACUAGAGCAUAUUUCUUAUCCGAUUUUAGAUGUUACAAUGAUUGUAGAUGAUAUGCUUCUACUUGAUUCUAUAAAUGUUUUUACUUUGGAAACUAAUACAGUAAUUAUGUAUUAAAUCUCAAGUUUUUUAAUUGAACAUUUAAUAAACAACUGUUCAUUUGGUACAGAGAAAAGCAAAGGAAAAGAAGAAAAGGCUAAAUCUGAAUGCCACAAGACCAAGCCAUGCCAACAAUAAUACACUCUAAACAGUGUAAAUUCAGAACUGUGGUGAGAUGCCUUCAUUAUUUUCUGCUAAGUUGCAAGCAUCAUUCUCCCUAAGAACCAGGGAGGGGGGGCAGGGCAACCAAUUGGAAAGAAAGUGGUAGCGUUUGCUAAAGUUUGGAAUUGCUUUCAAGUAAACAUGCUUGAGCAACAGUAGGGAAGAUGUCUUCUUCCUGUCAUGCUUUUCAUUGGUGGUGGAAUGUCUGUCCCAUUCAUUUGCUUGUCAAAAUAAAUAACUAAUCACAGUCGUAUGCAACUACAACUUGUUAAAUAUUAUCUUUUAAUAAUGAUUAUACGAUUAUAUUGAAUAAGCUUCGGGUUCAGUCACUUCAACUUUAUAAAGGAAAAAAAGCAGUAAAAUUUGAAAUUGUAAGACGGAUUUUAUACUGUGAAAAUGAUAAGUGGUACAAACAAUUGGGGGACAGACAGGCUAAAGCCUUAAAGCUGAGAAGAAGCCAACAGCAGUUAAAGGGGAUUUGAGGCAAUGCAGUCAGGCCACUGGCAGUGCACCUUUGGUGAGAUGGUGUCCAAGAAUGGUAAAAUAACAAAAAUUAAAAAAAAAAAUUCUUUGGAUACUUUAAAAAAAUUUUGGGAUAUUUUUAAAAGUUAAAAAAUAAAAAAUUUGAAAAAAAUUUAUUCUAAAUAUUUUUUUCGUCAAUAAAAUUAUUAUAUAUAAAUAAUUAUAUAUAAUAUAAAUAAAUACCAAAAAAAAUCUUAAAUAUACCAAUGAUACAGGUUACGGCCAAUGUUAAUGAUAGAUGCUGAGUGUAUUGUACGAUCGAAAGAAGAAGAAAGUCAAGAGCCAGAGAUCCUGUAUAUGGGGCCUGCCAUGUGCAAAGCCAGUUUCAUUUAGUGUCUUGGGUCUUAGGAAAACCUUUUAAUUGAUGGGUCGCCAUCUUCCAUGAUUUACCACCUAAAAUGUUAUCAUAUCAUCAUUGCAGUUGUUUUUUUUUUAUUCUAAUCUUUUGCUACAGCCGUUGAGCCUGUACGAGAGCGUACAGUUUCUAUUUCCUACUAGUUUUUCCUUAUUUUAUUUUAUUUUAUUUUGUUUAAUCUCAAAUGACAAGUACUUUUGUAUAGAUUCAUGGAUCAGUUAAAUCCCAUGCAUCCAAUGGUGAAAAGAUUGGAAAAAAAUUCCUCAUUGGUUGGCUCAUCAUUGACACAAGACGUUUUACCAAUGUCGUUCUGAUUCAAUGGUUUAAUAAUUUAUGAUCAUAAAUAAAAGUGAUAACGAUUUAGAUAUUAAAUUUGAUUUUAUUUUUUUAAAUAAUAUAUAAAAUUAUAAAUUUUUAAAAUUUGAUUUAGAUUUGAAUUGAUUUUUUUAAAUAAUAUAUAAUAUUAUAAAUUUUUAAAAUUCGUUUAAAUUUGAAUCAAUUUUUUUUAAAUUGAUUUUAUUCAAAUCAAAUUUUAUUAAUUUAAUUCAGUUUAUUAAUUUUUAAAUUUUUUUUAUUUUUAUAUAUUAUUUUAAUAAAAUUUUUAAUAUAUUUAAAUAGAUUUAUAUAUAAAAUAAUUAAUUUUAUUUUAUAAAAAUUUAAAAAUAUAUAAAAUCUAAUAAAAAUAUAUAAUUUAGUUCAAUUUGAUUUUUUUAAUUUUUCAUAUCUCGAUACAAAAUUUGAUCUGAAUUAAUAUAUAUAUAUAUAUUUAAUAUUCAAAUUUGAUUCAAAUCAAAUAAAAAAAAUCUAAACCAAAUCAACUACUACAAUUUCAAUUGGAUUUUUUUUUUUUAAAACUUUUUUCCACCCCUAAUCAUAAACAUUGAGUUGUGAAAUUUUAUUGAAGCAAUUCUCUUUUUCAAAAUUCUUUUACCAUAAGUUAGUGGAAUUUGCCCAAGGGAAACCCUGUCCCUGAGUUUAUUUAUCGCAUUAACAAUGCAGUUUCGAGCCGAUGAACUGAUGGGUUUUGGCAAGCUCACAAGACCCAAACCAAAUAGCUUAAACGAUUUCCCUGGUGGUUUAUACACAUCUCCUGGACUAGAGAAGAAUCCAUGUUCUGUAGUUUCUGUUGGCGUACUAUUGCACCUGACCAAAGAAAUGCAAUGUGUAUUAACAAUAGUGUAGCAUAGGUUUUAGCCCACUAUCAAUUUGUAAAACCAGUACUGUAACAGACAAGUUAAUUCCCCAAUUGCCCAGAAAAAUGGUAAAUUAAAAUAUGAUGGCAUGGCAUCAGAAGCUGAGUAGCAUUACAUCACCUCAUGUUUCCCACACAGCUGCAUUCCCAUUGACGAGGCCAAUGAUCUUUCCAUUAAACAUGGUACUCAUCCAACAUUGACAAGACGACACAAAUGUUGCAGGGAGAAGCCAAACAACAGCUAUAUAGCCUCCAGCAGACGAAACAAAUGGCAUAAAAAAACAAGGUUGGGACAGACAACAUGAUAAAGAAAGCACAACAUAACGCGGUCCUAAUAGGUCACAUAAUGCUCCACUACAAGCCCAGAGAAGAUGCUGCCAGAAAUGGAAGCUAUGCCAGCGUUGCCAAUAUCGCUUUUUCUAAGGUUGAGGUUAUCUCGUAUGAUAGAUAGGAAUAAGAGUAGCUGCUGCAAAUGUGGAGAUGAAGCAAGUGAAGAAAGAGAGCCAAAAGAGAUGGAAGGUGACCAUAUGGGGUUUGGCAAAUGACAGAAGGUUGAAGACUUUAGCUUUAUGUUCAGAAUCGACAGGCAGUGCAAAUUUUGAAGUAAGGUCUGUUGGGAUCAUGGUGGAAGUGACUGAGAAAGCAAAGGCUAGUUCUUCUGCUGAAACUCCAUGCGUGGAGCUUCCUGGCUUGUUCUCUGUUUCAGUCAUAGUUUUGAUCUUCUAAGUUCUCCCCAAAACAAGAAAAAACAAGAUAAUUAACUUGAAUUCUUAUGGUAUUGAAGUUGCAGGGUUAACUUUUAGAAUUUUUGGCUGGCAUUGGUGUUUAUAUAAGGCUACACUUGAUUUUGAAAACAAAUUGUUGGAGGUUCCAAAAGCUAAAUUUGUUCCAUUGUAACAAAGCCAUUGGUUCAGGCUCUUUUAUUAUUAACUCAAUUCAUAUAAAAAAAAUAUAUGAUUUCACUGACAUUUUCUUAUGCAAUUGAAAUUUUGGAAUGGUAUAAAAACCUCAAUCCUUUUCUGUCUUAUUAGCCAAGUAUAUUUUCUCUAACUGGCCUGCAGCUGCCUAUUCAAAACAUGAAUAUAUCUUUUGCAUGUCUGGCUGACAGAGACAAGAACUUGUUAUAAACAUUAUACUUACCCUUUCGCGUGCCCUAAGAGGUUUUUCUAUUAGGGGGUUUGUUUAUAAGCCCUAAUUUUAUCACCAAAUCCAAAUCUCUUCUUCAAUCGGCCAUUGUGGCCCAAUUAUGGGCUUCAAAUAUACUUGGCUCAAUCUACUUGGCACCAAAGGAAACAACCUAUGUUUGGGCCAUAUUGUCAAUGGGGAAAGGCAAAUUAGCCUCGAUUUAAAAAAAAAAAAAUUUUAGUGUGAUUUUUCUUUAAUUCAUUAAGAUUUCUUUUUGAAAAUUCAAAAAUCAAAAUCAUCAUUGCUUGGCUUUCGCAUGUGGUCUUUUAAAUUUUGAUUUUAUAAAACAAAUUAUACUUGAUAAAGACGUUGGAUUAAAUCUAUGGAAAUUUCUCUCUAAUAAUAAUUAUUAUAAAAUAUAUUUGACAUUUAUACAAAAGCAAUGUUUUUUUUUUCAACAUUAUAAGUGAGGGUUGGAGUUGCUUGAACUCGAAUUCUUCUUUUAACCACUCGGUGAAAAGAUUAUUUACACAAAAUAAUGUUACUUUGUUGAGUUUGAUCACUUACAAUUUUACAAUUCAAAAACGAUAUCAAUAUAAUAAAUAAUAAUUUUAUCAACAUUUAAAAAAAAAAAAUCAAACUGUUGAAUAUAGAUAGUUCAUAUAACAAAUGGUUGUACAUAAAUGGUUUAUCCAUUACGCAAUAUUUAUUUAUGAUUAUGAAAUAUCAAUGCUUAUCUCUUCAAUAUAUAUAUAUAUAUAUAUAUAUAUAUAUAUAUAUAUAUAUAUCAAUGCUUGGAAAAGAGCUAACAAAAAGAGAGGAGACUCUUGCAGCAAAAUCAGAUCACCUCAUUCUCAAAGAAAAACCUGUCUAAAGCUCAAAGAUAUAUAUGAUGCUAACUGGAAUUUUUUCUCUAUUUUAUAGAAAGAUCACAACUUAAAAAAAAAAAAAAAAUUGAGAUUUGAAUUUUAAAAUUUUUUUUUUUUUAAAUAAUGACAUGAACUAAGCUAAAUUUGAAGUUCAUUUUACCUGAUAACGUGACAAUGAAAACAAGUAAUUAAUAAAACUCGAACAUUAUGUCAUGGAAAAUAACCCCACCAUUGAUCAAUGUUAAAUUGGUUCAUGGCAGUUUGCUUCUUUUGCUAUUUGAUGAUUGUACAAAAGAAAUAAAAAGGGAAAGGAAGUUGUAUUGUUUUGGUUGUUGGCAAUCAACUCAAGCUAGCCGACGCAUUGCCACCCCUUGCAAGUACUAGACAUAGUACAGCAAGAAGGAUUGCCGGAUCUCUUUAAUCAUCAAUUAUUUAGAGGCAGAGAGCCCCCACCUUCGGCUUCCCCAAAAUAAAAAUGAGAAAACUUCAGAUACCACAUCAGUACAGUUUGGCCCUAGCUGGCUGGACAUGGCCUCCUUCUUAUGUACUACAUUUAAUUUACCCUUUUACUAAUUUAAUUAUUUUGUUUUUUUAGGAAAAAAUAUUAAUUAAGCUCAAAAAAUAAAAAAUUACACAAAAAUUUUACAUCUAUUUCACAUUUCAUCUAAUCAUAUUGUUUAACUAAUUUUUUUUUAAGAAAUUAUGUUAGCUUCAAAAUAUAACCAUGAAUUUGAUUGAAUUUAUCCAAGUAAGUUGAAAAGGUCGUUUUAAGGUUUAAUUUAGAUUUAUGAUUGCAAGAUUUUAAUUGGAGUUCAAUCAUAAAAGGACAUUCGAUCACGUUAUGAUAGAAAUCCUCUUCUUAUGCAUCCAAUCAAACCUAAUUCCAUUCAAGCAAGUGACAAGUUGUAUAAAGCAUAAAUUAAUCUGACAGGUUAUUAAGAAAUUUGUGAAGAGUGGGAUAUUAACUAUUGCGGUUUUACAGUAAUUGCUUUAUUGACAAGGCAAGUUUCUAUUGGGACACGAUAUGAACCGUAGCUUACAUUCCUGUUCAGGGUCCAAUAAUGUUGGUCUAGGUUCACUUCAUUCACGGUCUCCCUUUCACACGCCCACAGAAAGAAGCUAUAGAUAUUAACUCAGUUUUUCUUGAUAAAUGAAAACCAGAAAACUGUUUGCCCAAUUUAGUAUAUUGAUCUUUCCUUUUUCCUUAAUUUCAUUAUGCUUGCUUUGCUAUUUCUACUUCAUAACAGUCAACACCCAGUUCUUUUUCUGAUCUUUUCAUUUGCAAUCUCAUAGGUUUUCAUCUCUGUAGAUGUCUAAAACUGAUGAUGCACAUAUUUGUAAGUGUUUUUUAAUUAUCGCUUGAAUUCAAUCAUUUUGUUUGAUUAAAUUAGGGUUUCUCUUCCAGGGUUUACUCUUCUAGAUCCUAGGAUCUAUCCCAUGCAGCUUUAUACUAUAGUUGCCUGGCUGCUGCUUUUAGUGCUUUACAUAAGGAAUUGAUGAUAUUUCCAAUCUCUAGAAAACUUGUUAGCUGAAUUUUUUUUAAGUGGUUGGUUAAUUUGUUUGUUCAAAUGGUGGAAAGCAGUCAUUGUUUGCAAAUGUAGCAUCAUCAAGAUUCACAUGCAACGUGUAUAUAUAAAGGUAUAUAUAUGUAUAGUUUGGGCCUGAGAAUCCUGAUGAUGCUGCAUUGGCAAUGAAUGGCUACAAGGACAACUGUGAUCGAUCGGUUACUGCCCUUCCAUCCCAAAAUGGUGAUGAUUUCUCUCCCAUUACCAAGAAAUUAAAAUGCUAAUUUGGAUCUAAAUUAUCUAAUCCUACUCCCAGUCUGUUUCUUUCUUUUUGAUUGUUAGCUCAGGAUUUAUGUUCUUUUGAAUUGCUAGCUAGCAGAUGGAUGAAUCACUUGGAGCUUGGCAUCAUGGAGAUCGGAUUCAUCGUAUAUGACAAAUGAUAAGGUGAGAAGGCUUUCCUUUUACUCACUGAAUAGUAUAUGUCGACUGCUUAUAAUUUUAAUCAAUUUUCGAAAAUUUUGAAGUCACUAAAAUCUUUUGUCAAUAAUGAAAUAUUCUAUCGAUAAUAAAGAGAGUUUAGGAUAAUCGGUUUAAUCGAUUAAAUGUGAAAUGGAAACAUAUUCGAAGUACAAAUUACGCGAUUCAAUUGUGAAUUAUAAACCUUUCUCUUAUAAGCAUCAAAACAAAGUGAUGAAAAAUCUUAAAUUCAUAGGUACACUAAUCUCAUGGUUAGUACUUUUGAGGGUUGAUUUUCUAAUUAGUAACUUUUUUAUUCUCAGUUUAUUAACAUUUUUUUAUACAAUGUUCAGUUUUCUGUUUCUACAAACCCUUUUUUUCACUAUAAUCAUGCCAUCAAUGUUGUCCUUGGUAAUACUGCGAGUGGGGCAAACCAUUCUGGUCUGAUCUCUGAUCUGUUGCAGCACAGCAAAUUUUUAUUGAUGUUCCUGUCUGCUUGUCAAUCAUGCUGUUCAUGGGCAUCCUUCUAUAGUUGCUUCCAUGCUUUACAACCGAAUGCUCAUUGUAACUCAAAUUAAUUGAUAUUCCAGGUGAUCACAUGCCCUUACUUUUAACCAUCCAAAUCUCAAGACUUGUUCAAAAUUGCUGCAUAUAGAGUAGUAUUAGUACAAGUAAAUCAACUAUUUCUUCACAAAUAUCUUAUCAUUCAAAUAUGUUUCCAUUGAAAGUUAAAAUAAAUUCUGCCGACUUAAGAUGGAAGGAUGGAAGAACUAUAACCAACCAUACAUCAUCUUUUUCUUCUCAGUGCUGUUUAGGUAUUCUUAAUUAUCUUCUACUUUCUCAACUAUACACUUGUUCAUUUUGGUUCGAUUAUAUGUUAUGCUUUUGAACAUUUUAUGGUUAAUUUUAUAUAUGCAUACAAGGUUUAUAUAUUAUUUAUAAGCCAUCUACCUUCGAACAUCAAUUGUCUCAAAUUAAUUCAUUAUUGAUUUCCCUUUCUAUACAUACAUACAUAUAUAUAUAUAUAUAUAUUAUAAAGAAUGCUGCAGUCUUAGAAUAGGAAGAAUUAGAAUAGGAAAGAAUUAGAAUAGGGAAAAGAAUUACAGAUGCUGAAAUUUGAAUCUCGAACUUAUUAAAUGGCACAUCUUAAUUUAAAUUAUGGAUUCUCUAUACAAUUUUUUUUUUGCCAACCCUUACAUAUAUAUAUAUAUAUAUAUCUUUAAUUUCAUAAAGCAGCAUAUUUAAUGUGCAAAGGAACUGUUUUGUUAAUUAAUCAAUUUCAUCUCUUCAGCUUCCUUAAAUAAUGAACAAACCCCAAAUGAGAUGUUGGGUCUCUUUACCAUAUCUACAUCUUACAUAUGAUACAUAUGAAAUAAAUGGUAGUAAUGGGGUAACGUGUUCAUGUAAUAGAUGGAUAUAGACGUGAUUUUUAUGUUCUAGCUUUUCUAUUUCUAUAUAAUAAUGUCUUUGCUCUUAAUUACAUUUUCUGUAUUUUCUUUCUCGAGUUGUUGUUGAUUUGGAUUCCUAUACGUACAUGAACACUUCAAUAUUUGAACCUGAAAUAUUUCAGAAUCUCAACCCUUAAAUUGUAGUAUUAUUUAUUUUCUUUUCCCAAUUUAUGUGGCUAGACGACAAGCUAUGGGCGAUUGCUGCAAAAGUGAAUGCAAGAUUUGUACUCGAUCUCUGGUUGUGUUGCUUAUGUCAAAUAAAAUUAAUGCUGUGAUCAGAGAGCAGGGACAUGGGGUUUGAAGGAUUUUCCACCUUUUAAAAGUGCUUUCAAACUUGAUUGAAGAUGAGCUCAUGACCUUUGUUUCAUUUCUGCAUGGAUUUCUUAAUUUAGAUUUGUUGGUGUCUAACUGAGCUAAUAAGAGUAAAAUCCUGAAAUUAGAAAGAAAGAGAAAGAAAGUUGUUAAAGAUAAAGGAUUAGAGUGGUUUAAUGUUUGUGUUUUGAGGCUCAAAUAAAAAAUAGACAAAGAAGAAUAAUAGCAAGGAAAAUAUAAGAAAAAUAAAAAAGGUAAGAUGAUGAAAUGGUAUUUGAAUAGUUUUAUCAGGACAACAUGACAAUUUGGAUUAUUAGAGAUUAAUUUUAAAGUUUAAGAUAAUUUGAUAAAUCGAAUUAAUUUGAAGCGUUGAUUAUUUAUUUUAAAAAUGAUAACAUUUAAAAGGAUCCAUUAAAUAAAUUAAUGAAGUGAUCAAAUUGAUGUUAUUUCGUAAAAUUAAGUCGGUCUAACAUAUCAAUUGAUUUAAAAAUAAAAAAUACUUAUAAAUGUUUGUCGACAAUUUUUAAUAGAGUUAAAAACCAUUUUACCCUUAUGUAAUUGGUUGCUGUCAUUGUGCUCGUUAAGAGCAGGAUGUCAGUGUCUGCAAAUUAAUUAUUCUUCAUUUUAAGUAAUUAAGACAAAACCACUCAGGACUUGAUUUAUCCUGCAGGAAACUACUCUAUUGGUGCAAAUGAAGAAAUCAAUUACUGAAUGAUCUGCUCAUCAAAGACAGCAAACAACGUUGGGUACUUCUUCAUGUUCUUCACAGGUGAUAUUACUUUUAGAACUUCGUACAGGAAAAUAGGUGCUUAAAAUCUUAUAAAAUCACAACGGAAAAAAGACUUCAGAAAAUAUGAAAAAGAGAUGCCUCUACUGUUCACAUCCAGGAAACGUACGGUUUGUUUAGUCACAAUCAAUUGGUAGGCUUCAUAUCUCUUCCAGCUCUGACAUGUUCAUCUGGUUAAAAUUCUCAAAAGCUUUGAUUGAAAAAACCAAAAUUUGUCGACAAGAAAACAACUUCUGACUUGUAGCAAGGGCAUGAUUGAUUGGGACAGCAAUGACAAUUUUUUACAUUUGAUUUAUAUCUUUUUGAUGCAUAAAUAAAAUAUAAGUAUUGGUAUUUUUAAAAAUUUUUCAAACCAAACACACUUUAAAGAUCUUACCAUGCGAUCUAUAAUUAGAUUGAAAAAAAAAAUGAAAAGCAACAAUUAUGUUAAAACUAGUAAGCAAGAUUUUGUAUUAGUUUUUUUCAUUUUUUGGUACAGAGGGCCAUGGCCACAGUCAUCCCGAGAAUAAAAACUAUAACUAUUAAAAUUUAAAUAUUAUUUUUUAAAAAUAAUUGGAUCAACCAACUUUAGACUCGGAUUUUAUAUUAGUUAAGGCUUGUGUUUCUAAUCUCCUCUCUCGCUCUAUCAUGUCUUACAUUAAAAAAAAAUACAAUAAUAUAUUUAUAUAUAUAUAUAUAAAUUUAUACUUAAACUUAUAAAGCAUUUAUUACGAGACAAAAACCGUAAAAUUUAUUGAAAAAAUGUGAAGAUAUGAAAUUAUAUAAAUGUAAAAAUCUAAAAUUAAAUUUAUGAGAUACUUUUUAUAAGAUAAAACUUUAAAAUUUUCUAAUCAAAACAAUCUCGUAAAUUAGAUGCUGAUCUCCACGCAAGUCCGCUUCAAGAGGUCCUCUGUCAAAAUGCCUGUAAUGAGGUAUGAAGAUCCUCCUUUGCUUACAGUCUACCUUGGCCAGCUCACUGUGUUGACUCACUCUCUUCCUCAUUCGUUCCACCUCCUCACCCCAUCUUCAACAUAGUUACAACCUCCUUAACUUGCUUUCACUUAACCAAGACGCCAAUCUUCUCCUCCUCUUCCCAUGCCAUGCCACUCUGAACACCUAUUUCCAUACCAAUUCUCAACCGAGUCAAUACAAAUUUCUGAUUAUAAAACUGCUCAGCAAAGAGUCGCCAUGUAAUGAGUGGCACACCUGACCUCACUGAUUCCAAUACUGAAUUCAACCCAGAGUGAGUCAUGAAUCCACCAACAGCAGGGUGUUUCAAUAUAAGAACUUGAGGAGCCUAUCCAUUUACAAUAAGGCUAUGCAAAAACCUACUUCUUUUAUCAUCUUUGAUGACCCCAAUGAAAGAAACCUUUGAAGCUUCAAGGCCUAAAGCUAUCUCCAAAAAGCUGUGACUCAGCAAACUCACAUAAACUCCCAAAGCAAACAUAAAGUACGGACCAUGUUAUGAAACAUAUUAUGAAGUCUAAACUACAUACCAGUAAACAAGGGCAGCAGAGUAAAGGAUCAUUCAAUUUAUGUUUGAAGCAAACAUUAAUUGCAACCAGAACUAUUGACCCCAGUUGUAUAAAGGCUACCCACAAGUGAGCUAUAAACUCUUUGAUCAGGCAUAUGGCCCAUACUGAUCAUCUCAUUGUACAAUCUAAAUGCUUCAUCUGAUCUCCCAUCCUUACACAACCCUGAAAUUAUUGCUGUAUAGGUGACUACAUUUGGAACUAGACCCUUUUGACACAUUUCAUUAAACAGUUUCAUCGCCUCAUCUACCUUACCAUAAUUACAUUCACCAUGCACAAGUGACGUGUAUGUGUAUAUGUCUGGAAUUCUCCCCUUGGCUUCCAUCUCAUUCCUUAGCUUAUAAGCGUCCUUCAUUUCCCCUUUCUUGGUAUAUCCAUCAAUGAGAGCAUUGUAUGUAAUGGUAUUAGGCCUCUCUCCCCUUCUCUGCAUCUGUUGAAAUAGCCUCUUUGCCUCAACAAUGUUCCCUUCUUUGCAGUGAAUAUGAAUCAAAGUGGUGAAGUUGACUACAUUAGGAAUCACUUGUUUUUCUACCAUCAUGAACAACCAUCUCUUUGCUUCCCCAUGCCGUUUCAAUCUACUCAUCCCACUAGCCAUAAUGUUGUAAGUAAAUACAUCAGGCUCAAAACCUUUCUUCUCCAUAACAGCCAGUAGCCUCAAAGCAUCAUCCAUCAUCCCCUUUUUGCAAUACCCAUGUAGAAGUGUAUUAACUACCACCUGAUUGACAACAAUUCCUUGACUUUGCAUAUCAUUCACUAACAUCUGAGCUGCCUCCAUCUGCCCAGUCUUGCAGAGACCAUCAAUUAAAGCCCCAUAAACAUGUGCAUUCGGAACAAGUCCUUUCUCAUUCAACUGAUCAAACAAAGCAAAGGCUCUUUUAAUAUUCCUUCUUCUACAUUGCCAACUAAUCAUAGAAGUGUAAAGAUGAACAUCCGCUUCCACCCUUCUCUCACGCAUUUCAUCAAACAUCUUCUCAGCUUCUUCAUGCUUACCAACACAUUCAAAAUACUCAAUCAAAACAGUAUAAGUAGCAGCAUUAUACUCCACUUUCUCCUCCUCCAUCAAUCUCAAAACCUCACUAACAACUUCAAAAUCCUUCGUUUUAACGUAUGCAUUUAAAAUUGUAUUAUAAGUAAUAACAUUAGCCAUUACCCCUUUACUGACCAUUUCAUUCAUCAACUCUCUACCUUUCUCAACUUCCCCUCUAUUGCACAAUCCAUCAAUCACAAUUGUCAUAGAAUAAACACUAAUUUCCACACCAGACUCAAUCAUUCUCCUAAAAAACCCCAGAAGGGAAUCACCUUUACCACACUUCCUCAAUGCAAUCAAAUACAAAAUGCAAGACCCUUCAUCAAUCUUAAAACCCAUUCUCUCCAUAUAAUCAAAAGCCCCACUUGCCUCUUCAAACAUUUUGUUAUCUACACAAACUCGAAAAAAGAAAUCACAAAACUUUUGGAGAAAGUUUGAGUCAUUACACUCAAAACCAACUAAAGAAAACAUUUCCUCAACUGGGUAUCUAAGAUUAUCAUCAAAGAUAAUAAACUUCAAUACUUCUUUUAUUUCUUUAAAUUUUCCAUCUUUAUACAAUCUGAGAAUGAAGGUUAAAUGGGUUUUAAGAUUGGGUUUUUGGGAAGCAAGAGAGAAGUUUGUUUUUAAAAAGUUGAAGAAGAUGGUACAUGAAUGAAGAGGGAGAUUUGGGUUUGAAAUAAUGAGGUUUAUUAUGUUUGAGUUGAGAUUGGAGAGCAGAGAUGGAUUGGUUUUAAAGGGUUUAAGGCCAGAGUUUAUGAGGGUUUGAGUAAUUUCUGCUGCUUUGUUUUGGUUUUUUAAUGAAGUGGAGUUCCUAGAGAGGGCUUUCUCCAAUACUUGUGAGAGUUUUUGAGUUGACAUUGAUGGUGUUGAAUUCUAACAAUUGACAUGAAAGCUUGUUUUAACCUCACCACUCACCGGAGCUCGUUUCGCUGCUGACGGAAGAUGUGUUACCUUUUUUAAGUCCUCCAAGCGACGUCGUUUAGUUUUCACUUUUUUAUUUUGAAACCCUUUUUUUUUUUUUUGCUGAAAUAUUUAAAUUUUGCACUUUGGGUUUAAAGAAAAAAAAAUCCUUUUUUGGUUGACAUGUUUAUUUGAGAUAAAAAUAAAAAAUCGUUGGGUUUUGUUUGAAAACAAAAUUAUUUUUAAAUUACAUAAUUUGAGAUUUUUUUAUUUUCGUAUCUAUUUGGUAUAAAAUAUAUAUAAUAUAAAAAUUAUCAUGUUAUAAUUCACAUUAAUACUAUAAAUAUAAAAUAUUUUUUUGUUAAAUUUUUAUUUUUUAUUUUUAUCAAAUUUAUAUAUGAUUUUAUCAAAAUUUUAAAUAAAAUUAUUUAUAUAUUUUUUUCAUCUAUUUUUAUAUCAUGUAAUUGUGUGAGUGUCUAAUUCGAAGGUCUCCUUUCAAGAAAACACUUUGCAUACAAUUUAAUAUAUUAUUAGUAGAAAAAAAAAUAAAAAUAAGCACUAUUGUUAGAUUACAAAGUUGAGCAUUGAAACCUGCUUGUAGGCUUUGGCCAUACUCAUAAGCUGCCAUAAGCUUAACAACAGAUUUUAGUCUGGCCGGAGGAUGAAUCGGUAAAUCUGAAAUGAAUGUCUGUGUCUCUAUAUCUAAACAAGCAAAUCUACAUAUGCACCAAGUCCUUGUUUGGUAAGGCAUUGCUUGAGCUUGUAUGAUGCCCAGCUCUCUAGCUGCCGCACCCUUUCUUUGGAUAUUCCAAACAUGGUUCCUAUCCCAGACAAAGAAUUUUGUUUACUUUCUUCAAUACUAAAUCUCAGCCCUCCUUUCUUUCGGACUGAGAACGCUUAGAAGGUUGCGCACAUGCUGCCUCAUUAGUUGCUUUGCCACACUAACAUCUGGGAUCUCGAUGCCGGUGUCCGGUGUUACGUCCGGCAAGCAUGACAAGAACAAAGAAUGUAUACAUAAGUGGCAACCUUCCCUCAUAAACCCCCAUUAGCACGAAAAUCUGCCUGUCUUUGGCCAUUCACAUUUUUAAUCAAGAAAUUACAUGUUGCCACAGGGGAAUCAAGCUAGAACGAGUGUGCUACCUGAAAGGUGGUAUCCUGGUCCGCCCAUACAGGUUGUUGCAUAGAAAGUGGCAUCCUUGUUGUGAAUAGCAACUUAUCCAAUUUCCCAACUGUUUUUCCAACACGUCUGCUUGUUCUUAUUUGGAAGGACAAUGAUUUCCUUCUUGUAUGUAUGAUCUCUUUGGAUCCAAUAGUUUGCUCAAGAUGCUAUAUAGAACAAUAAGUAGGUUCUUUGCUGGUGAAAGGUGACUCAAAUAUAUAACAAAUCAUGUGCCUGACUUGAAUUGAAAUUGAAAUUACCGGCAAACGAAUGGAUCUGGAAUGUUGCAUUAUAGACUUUGUAAUAGUUUGCCUUAUCCACCAGUAGGCAUAGGUGGCAACACGGCAUCCGACUUGUGGUUUGAACUUCUCAACACUUUUCAUAAGACCCAUACUUCUUUCCUGCAGCAGAUCCUGAAGGCUGAGACGACGGCCCUGUUAUUGUUUAGCAAUGUGAACCACCAUGCGCAAAUUCGCAUAGAUCAAAUUUUCCCGGCUUCUGUUUCCGGAGUGGAGUUCUUCCUGCAAGGCCGAACAACUAAGAUCCAUGGCUUCAGCCCAUUCAACCAAGGUUGGUUCACGCCUAAAUUGAGAUUGAAGCUUACUCUUUACCUUCACUAAUCUCAUUAAAUCCUACAGGUGUUACAGGCACCAAGAAUAAGACCUUUCAGGAACAAAAAAAAAGUUCCCUAUUUCCAUGCUUCAAAAAAAAGGAUGGAUUGCGAAAGGCACCUGACUUGAAUAAUCAAUUCAGACUCUUCUUUAGCAGUCAAGACUUGUUUAGACUGUCUCAUUAAACGUCUUGUUGACCUAACUGUAACUAUUUCCUCCUCAUCAACUGGCAAAUUAAGUAGAGGAAUUAGCAGACCCCAAACUGCAAUAGCAUUAGAUAUCGUCCUCAAUGGAUUAACCUAAAAGGCUAAAACGCUAAUGCAACAAGAAGACAAGAUAGAAAGUAACCUAUUAGGAAGUGAAUCAUAAAGAUCUAAUUUGAGGUCCUCAGCGAAUGAUGCAGCUCGUUCAGAUGCUGACAAAUUCAGCUUUCUUAGCAGGGGCAACUAUAUUACUUGGUUCGACAACCAUAAUCUCCUUGGUAUCAGCUGCAACAGACUGCAUAUUCAAGGAAUGUUCCCUAAUUCCAAGAGCGGUAAUCUGUGAUGAAGAAAAUUAAAGCAAUAUAUGACGAUGUAAUUAAGGUGGGAAAGGAUAACAGUCACAAGGAUUUAAUGCUGGAAGCAAUAAAUGAGAUUCAGUUCAUGUACAACUGCCUAAAAUCAGGCCAAUGGAGCAACUGCUGUUAAAAGACCUUGUGAGAGAACUGAUGUAGGAAAAUGCCUAGCUACCGAAGUAAUCGGAAUAGAAGUUGCUGCAGGAGCAGCUUGCUCAUGAAACAUCGGAACUGCAUAAUUGUACAUAUAUUGUCAUUCAUAACUUAAUAUCAUUAUCUCUAUGCACUUGAGAGCAAAACACAUACAUUCAUGCAUAACCACACAUAGGCAGUUUUCUCAUCUAUAUAUCUAUGUAUCUCCAUAUACAUACACAAAUUUAUCAAGAACCUGGAAGUUUCAUAAAUAUAUAUAAACGACAUCAUAUAUCAAAAAGUUUAAAGACUGCAAGCAAAAAGAGAUGAAUUUAUGCAUUUAACUUGAAAGCAAAUUGGCCAAUGAAGUAGCAGUAAGUUUCCAGUUCUACCAUGUGAAUAAUUCCCAAUUCCAGGUCUAACAAUAAUUACGAACAUAUCCUUAAGGAAUAAAAAAGCUUCAAAAAAAAUUCCCAAGGAAGUUAAUUUAACAGGAAGAAAUAUCAAGCACUGAACGAGUAGACUAUUGUUUGCUACAAUGUAAAUUGGGUAUUGUACAAAUGAUCAUAAACAACAGAACACAUGUUCCAAUAAUAUAAAUAAAUGUUACCUGAAGAAGAUGAUGAAAAGACAGAAUUCUUAAGUUGGGUUCUUGUAGAAAAAGUUGGAGGAGAAGAAAGCAAAUUCCUUGCAGCUUCCAUUGAUGGAAAUGUAACCAUGGUUCUUCUCUACAAUGUAACCUCAAACAUUGUUUGGUUUGUUCUUCUCGUUAUGUGCUUGUUUUUGUUUGUUACUUGAUAGAGAAUGUAUGUUCAGAGGCUUUUAACAUUGUAGAUAAAGAAGAAGCCGAACACCGCUCUGCAGACAAAAACAAAAUGGCAAAAUCCAACUUUUGUAAUAUUUUUCUUUUAUUCUCAUAUUAUAACUUCGUUUUUUUUUUAAAAAAAAAAAGAAAUUGAUUCAAAUCCCCUCUUCAAAUAAAAAGAAAGAGUUCCAAAAUCCAAACUAGAGAAAUGACAAAGACAAACGACUUGAAAAUUGUUAACAAGUAACAUAUUUAAUUUACUGAAACAAUUGAAACAAAUCGGUCAAAAUCAAUUCAAGCAACAGACAUAUGUUAAUUGUAUAAGUAGCUGGACAAGCUUAGUCAGCAAAGAAAAAGUUUCAUCAAUCUUGACAAAAAAGAACAUGGCAAGCAUGUGGGUUGUUGGUAGUGAUGAUUAGGCUAGUUACCAAAGCAACUAUGAUUGAACUUUCUUAAUUCAAAUGAUUGAUAUACCUUUAUUACGGUCGGUUUGAUUAAUUUAAAAUAAAAUAAAUAAAUUUAUAUAUUUUUAAUUAUAUAUAUAAAAUUAGUAAAAAAUAUAAUUUUGAUUUUAUUAUUUGAAAUUAAAUUUGUUUGAAGGUUAAUUUUUUUAAAAAAAUACUCUUUUCAUUUUCAGUUUUUUAUUUUUUUGAAAUGUUUUAAAAUUAUGUCUUUUUAUUCUUAAUAUCUAAAAUUUUUAUUUUUUUAAUAUUUAAAAAUUAUUUUUAUGAUUUUUUAAAUAUUUUAACAUUAAAAAUCAUAAAAUUUUAAUUUUAUAAAAAAAUUUAAUUUUAAUAUUAAAUACAUUAAAAUUAAAAAAAAAAAUUUUGUGAAAGACAAAACAAACAAAUCGCAAUAUCGGUUUUAAUCGGUUAAAAAACCGCUCUUAUGAGUACUGCGCAUGGAUAGAAUUACUAAAGUGUCCAAUGAUCUGAUUAUUUGAUCAUUCAUAAAGUUAUAAUUAAUGGGACCUACCAUCCACACCCAAAUUACAGAAGGGGGACCGCCAAAAUCCUGCUAGUGGGCCCCAUGUCACAAACAUCGAAUCCCCAGGUCGACACGUAAGCUAAAUAUUCGCGUGAAUAUAAAUCCCAACCCAUCAUCUUUAAAAUGAGGCUUUCCUUUCCUCUUCCUGGGGUCACCCAAAGCCUAACCUUAACCCUCAUGGGCUCUGAAAUGGUUCUUCACAAAUUCACCACCACCACCACCAUCUCAAACCACCAGAACUCGUACAUGAGUUCAGUGGUCACUAACGAGUCAACUCCCAAGACCCAACUUGGAAACCCGUAUCUUUGCUUUCUAAAGACCGUCACACCAAAGUGAAGGGCCGUGGUCGGAUGCCGUCCCUAUGCGAAGCCCGGAUCUUCCAGCUAACUAGAGAACUCGGCCGCCACUACGACGGUGAGACCAUUGAGUGGCUGCUCCGUCAAGCCGAGCCCUCUAUCAUUGCUGCCACCGGGUCCGGGACCGUCCCUGUAUCCCAUGAAAUCAACUGUGCCGCCGGACCCACAAGAGCUCCAGCUUCUUCGCCUUCGGUGUCGUGUCAAAUGCACCCAGUAGCGGUUGGUAGCGGUGGCGUAGUGACGGGAAUGGAUAUCAUGACGGCGCCAUCGCCGAGUUUUCAAUUGGACUUGUGCCAGCCAAUGGGGCUUCAGUAUUCAGCUGUAGGAAGAAAUGGGUAUCAACAUUUGCCGUUUACAGCGUUGCUGUUGCAGCUGACAGCGGCGGAGGACGUCGAGUAGGAGCAGCAGGUGGAAGAGGAUGAAGAAGAGAUUAGGCAUCAUGAAUAGAGAGACGGGAAAGUACAGCAUUUAUAUAAUCUGUAUGUAUAUUGGACAACAAUCAUCAUCUAGAAAACAUUGGACAAUCUAUCCGUACAAACAAUUCUCAAUUAGAUUUUCUUUCAGGCAUAAAAAGGCGUUUGGAUAACCCAUUUUCAUGCAUGAAGAAACAAGUCAUAAAACUGCAAUUACCUACACAAUAUUCAUGGUUUUUAUCCAAAUUUUUAUGGGCACCAAACAGCCCAUUUCAGGCACAACACCCAAAUUCUACCUCUUCCGAGCACUAUUGCUAAGCUCCUAUACCAAAAUGAGAAUGUUCAACGGUUUCCCAUAGAAUUUGCGCUACUGUCUGAAAGUUUUUCACACUAUGUGGAGAGAGCACCUUUAUACGUAUGAAGAAAGAAGAGAAUUUCAGAUACGGGAAUUUAUUCAGUCAGUUAUGUAAUUUUAAAUUGAAUUGAUUGAAUUAUAUUAUUUUAUUUUUAUUAACAAAAUUAAAAUUUUUAAUUUAUUGAAAUUAAUGUAAUUUUUUUUAUUAAUCAAAUAAUAAAAUAUAUUAAGUUAAAUUAUAUUUUUAAUUUUUAAUUUUUUAUAUGUAAAACAAAUUAAAUAAAAUCAUUAAACAAAAAUAUUCAAACAACAAAGCAUCAAUUUAAAACUCUAAUAACAUUGAAAUGAAAUUUUUAGUUUUAUAUAUAAAUUUUAUUAUAUUUUGAUUAAAAUUUUAGUUAAUUCAGUUUGAAAAUUGAAUUAACCAAAAGUCAAUUUUUUUUUUAAAAUCAUUUUUGAUAACCUAUUAAAAUUAAUUUAUUGAUCCAUUGAUUACCUGAAUUAAAUAGGUUUGAUUAGUUAAUUCCAUUAAAAUUAAAUUAUUAACAUCCAUAAUUUCAAGAUGAUUAUCCGUAUGUAUGUUUGUAUAGGACUUUAUAAUAAAUCAUUAACAAUUUAAUAAUAAAUUAUUAAUAAUUUAAUAAUAAAUCAUUCAUAAGUUAGUAAUAAAUUAUUUAUAAAUUAUUAAUACUUCAAUGUUAAUUUAAUAGUAAAUCAUUGAUAAUUUAAUAAUAUAUUAUUGAUAAUUUAGUAAUAAAUUACUAAUAAAAUAGUUUUAAAUCAAUUAUAACUUAAUUAUUAAUAAUUAAUAAAUUUUUUAUAAUAAAGUUGUCAAGAAUUAAACUUUUAUUACUAGCAAAAACAAAACUACAAAUAUUCUCUUUGGAGGCUAGAAUAAAUUUACCAUGAACUUAUUCAAUAUAAAAUUUAGUAAAAAAAAUAUAAAUUUAAAUGAAACAAUAAUAAUAUUAUAUAAAAAAAAUUACCUUAUCCGAAAAUUAAACUAAUCUAUUAUUAAAUAUAUGAUGAUACAAAUUUUACUAAUAAUUAUCAUAAAUAUAUCAUAAGUUACCAAAAGUUAUUAAAAUUACAUUAAGAAGUUAUCAAAUUUAUUAUCAAAAUUUUGUUAAAGAUUAUCAAAAUUUUUAAUAGUGGUUACUAAAAUUAUUCCAUAAGUUAUCGAUUUAAUAUUAAAAGUUACCAUAUUUCCAAAAAUUUUAUCAAAACUUAAUAAAUUUUACUUAUAAAAAAUACAAAUUAAUUUAUUAUUAUUUGUCAUUGUUAUAAAAAAUAUAUCAAAAGUUAUCAAAUUUACUUAUAUUAUACCAAAAUUAAAAUUAAAUUUUUCUAUUUAUCAUUAUUAUUAUAGUAUAAAAAAUUAUUUAUUAAAAUAAAUCUUUAGAGAUAAAAAGUCAGGACAAUUAUCCUUACGUAUAAACAAAGGAAAGAAUUUCGGGACAAUUAUCCUCAUGUAUAAUUGUAUAGGAAGUUUGAUUGCAUUGUUCAAGUUAUAUCUAUCCAACUGAAAAAGCCGCAGCUGUGGUUCACUUAGACCUGGAAGUUAGCUGCUGUUAUCAUGUUACCAGCUAUGGAGUCCACGUCCGAACAAGCUUUUCACCGCUUUCUUAAAUCUAUAAUCCUUCCUUUAUGUUUGCUUUUGGUUUCCCUGGAGUUUUCCACAGAUGGCAAAGUUUUCAAUGGUGGUUCAGGACUUCCAGAUCCUGCUGAUGCCUCCACAAUCUGGUUCAACAUUUCUAACACCUCACUCAUCUUAGGGCGUGACUUUGGAUUUCUGACUACGCAUCGUUUGGCCACCAUGGCAAGUUUCUGAGCAGAUUUGAGCUGGCAUUUACCUUUCAGUCUGGGGUCCAAUAUCAACUGGAAUUUCUUCUUAUCAGAUAGGUAUGGUUUUAUCCAUGCCAAAAGAUUUUGCUCAUUCUUGGGACGUUUUUUGUCUAAAGGGCUCCUACCGGUAAUGAGUUCAUAGAGGAAGACACCAUAGCUCCACACAUCAAUCUUGGAUGUCAGACGUCCGGUCUGGAUAUAUUCAGGAGCUGCAUAUCCCAUUGUUCCAACAGCCUGUUGAAGACCAUCAGUUUGAUGUUUGUAAAUAGAUUGAUGAUUGUAAAUAGAUUGAUGAAUAGAUAGGGAAAUAUUACUAUGAACUCCAACAAGCAAUUUUGAUAGCAUAAACAGAACACUAAACACCUAACGAAAAACAAAAACCAACUAAAGGGAUAAACUUCAAGUAAUAGAUUGAUCAUUUUGCCUGAACAUACCGCUGUUGAGAUAUGAGUUAAUCCUUCCGAAGGGCCCAACCUGGCUAAUCCAAAGUCUGAUAGCUUUGCAUUCCAUUGCUCAUCCAGAAGGAUAUUGGAAGACUUAAAAUCUCUGAAGAUUAUCUGUAGUCAAAUACAAUAAAGAAAACCUCGAUUAGUAUUGUACAAAAUUGUCCGGAAAAGUUUUCUUUAAAAUUACUACUGGUUGUGGCAACUGUGAAUUCUCCUUAGCAGGGGAUUUCAGGAAAAAGAAUUAAAAGAAGAAAAAAAUGUCAAAGGACGGCGCAUAUCAUGCAAAUGCUGAGUGCAUUGGAAAGGAAUAGGUUGAAAAACCAUUAAUAUCUGAAAUGGAAACUUAAUAGCAUUAUACCUGGAAAUCCAUUCCUUCAUGUAGGUAUGCUAACCCACGAGCAGCAUCUUGGGCUAUUUUCAAUCUCAUUGUCCAGGAAAGAAUUGUCUCUGACCUGACAGAUAAAUGGUUUUCCACACUUCUAUUGGGCAUAUACUCAUAUACCAAAAGCCUCUGGAUUCCUCUUUCAUCAUCUUCAGCACAGUAUCCCACUAGCUUUACAAGAUUUGGAUGCUCAACCACACCAAGAACAUUUACUUCUGUCACCCACUCCUUGUGCCCCUGUCAAUUAAUAGGUGGGAUACUAAGUUUAUAGAAGUCACAGGAGCCAUCUUAGACAGUAUUUUGCAUGUAUGCAUCAUAAACAUUAAAUAGAGUCUAUAGAAAGGGGGGGAGGGGACCAGCAGCAGAGCAAAUUCAAUCGGGAUUUCUGGAGAAAUAUACACUUUUCCUAAUCUUUGUUUAAUACCAUUACUCACUGUAACGAAAAAUCAGUUUUGAUUAGUACUUUAGUCAAAUUCAUUGAAUGAUUAAAACAUCCAGCUCUACCUGUUAUUUGUUAGAGAAUUUAGUUCUGCUAAAUUUUAUUAACAGGCACAAAAUAAUGUUCCAGGCCGGAAAAUUGAAUUCAUAUCGAUUUGUAUGCAUAUGAUAUCAAAAGUUCUACACUAUAACAGCUCAAAAUAUCAAUCAUCUCCACCUAUGACAUUUUAAAAGAUAAAUAAAUAGAAGGCAAGUUAAUUCAGAACGAGAAACUUUCUAUAUGUUGUCAGGUUGAGGAGCCUUGCCUGCAUCCCCCUUUUACCAAGCUGUUUCACUCCUACUUCAAUCUUUUGAGAUGAAUCAUCAGGACUCUUGAUAAUCCCCAGGUAAACACAACCAAAUCCACCCUCUCCAAGCAUGACAGAGCGGCUAAAAUUCUUGGUGGCAGACUUAAGCUCAGCAACUGUGAACGCUCUUAGAUUGGUAGGUCUUUGAGACAUGCUAGGAAGAGAGGACUUCCCCAGGGUCCCAGUGUUCCUGCCUGAGACAUUCGGAGAGUUUAAUUCAGACCCAGACCGACCUAUUUCACGAUCAGUGAAUGUUGAAUUUAUAGGCCGAGUUGAAACUGAUUUGGGGGUCUUUGGUUCGUCUUUUUUAUACCAAUUGAGGAAUAUAAAACACUUCAUGGCCCUCAAAAGAAUUAAACACACUUAAUUCCACAGUGCAGAUCCAGAUGCUAGGAAGAGAUAGAAAGAUAUGAUGAAGCAAAACAAAGACUACAUACAAAACCUGCAAAGUUAAGAGCUAAAUAUAAGAAAGCUUAUUCCUGCAGAAGAAUAACUAUGAUGCUAUGAGUUAAAAGACCAGGUAACUCAAAAGUUGAUUUUUUUACAUGCCAAUAAGAAAAAACAUACCAUGAACAACAAUUUUCAAGGAUAGCUAAAUUCACAUUUUUAUUCAUGGAGAUUUGAAAAAUGAUGAGUUCAUAGCCACCUGGAUUUAACAAAGUAAUUUAGAACCUAUAAUUUCCAAAACCCUAUCAUCAUAGUGAAAAGCCAAAAGAAAAAAAAAAAAACCAAAAAGGUUCUAAAUUCUAAUAAUUCCAAGGAAUCCCACAUCUUCAGUUUUAGAGAAACAAUCACUUUUCUAAGCGACCCAAUUUCCAAACACUGCCUUUUGGAUCAUAUCCACAAGUCUAGAAAACAAACGCCAAAAACAUUGAAUUUUGUUCCUUAUUUUCGUAACAACUAAAAAUAAAAAAUCUGAAUAUAAACCAAAAAUGAAGAACAUUGUCUUGAGCUCACCUUCAAUUUUGUUGGUUGGAAAGGCAGAAAUUUGGCUAUUAAGCUUGAAAAAGCUGCCAAAUUUAAAGAUUUUGAGAGAAACCCAUUAGUCCAAUGCCCCCAAAAGACCUCAAAAUGCUUGGAGAUUUGGAAGAACGGUGUUCAAUGCCCCCAAAAGGCCUCAAAAUGCUUGAAAAAGCUCCCAAAUUUAAGGACUUUGAGAGAAACCCAUUAGUACAAUGCCCCCAAAAGACGUCAAAAUGCUUGGAGAUUUGGAAGAACGGUAUUCGAUUCUAUAGAUAAAGUCAGUACAUGGCAACUUUGUAGCUGGGGCAAAAGUCAUCUGACCAACCAAAAUUUAUUAAAAGGAAAAAAAAGCAUAAUAUUUUGCAUAAAAAUAAAUAAAAACCAACUAAAUCGAUUCAAUUAUUUGAAGAGAAGUUACUCAUGUCAAGUAUGAACGGGUACUUUGACAACGAGAGGCAAAAACAACGCACACAAAAAGCGAGUUGUUUUAGACUUUUUGUGUUUAGUAAGGAGGAGGAGAGAGGAAAGUCUUGUUCCGUGGUGCUUCCGAUGAAAAGAUGGGAGUCAUCAAAGUCAAUGUCCUUUUAAACAGGAAUUUUUUGGAUCAUUAUCUUCACAUUCUUAAGAUGAAUGGACACCAUUGCUAUGGCUAUUAGCAACUGCCAAAAAAUUGAAUAUUUACCUAAAACGCUGAUGUCAGCACCAUAUAACCAUGUUUAUGAAUUUUUUGGUAUUUUAAGAUUAGUCGUUUUUCCAGUCUGUGAUCUGAAAGUGCAAAUCAAGGUGCAGCAACAAUGUCUCAUAGGUAAAGUCUCUGUUUUUUUGUUAGUAGUAACUUUCUUUGGGUUAAAAAAUUUCGGAAAAAGGAAGUUGUUUUGGGAAAUUAAUAAAAGGUGCGUGAAAAUCUUGUAAAAGGGUCGCAAAUAUCUUAGUACAACCUUACGUAUUGAGUUGAGUUUACUCAAUGUCUGCUUUAGUCAUUGGUAUAGUUUCUGUCUCUGAAGCAUUGGAAGGUAAUGUUUUGUUUAAAUUGGGUUAGCAGAUGAAUCGUUUGAUGUAAGUUGUAAAUGAUCUGAUAUAGCAAACGCACAUAUAGGAGUGUUUGUUAUUUCAGGUGUCAUGCACAUAAAAUUAUUGCAGUAGGAUGAGUAUAAGGAUCUUUUUAUUUAGUGAAAAAUGAUUUUCGAAAUAUAAUUUUUAUAUUUAUUUGAUAAUAAAUUGAAUGAUUAAUAAAAAAUAAAAUUAUUUUUAUGAAAAUUAUCUUCUUUUAAAAGGAAAUAUAAUUUUUGAAAAAUAACUACUUAUUUAUGAAUAAAAUUAUUUAUCAAGUUUUUGGAAACAAUUCUAUUUAAGCCUGACUUUGAAUAUGAUUUUUGCAAACUCACACUUAAUUUGAUAUGACUUAAAAUAUUAUUAUAUUAAUAAAAAUAUUUUAUUUAAUUUUACAUAAAAAUUUAAAAUAUUAUUCUUAAAAAUCUUUUAAUAUUUGAAUUUUAAAUUUUUUUUAUAAUUUCACUCAAAUAAAACCUUAAACAUGAUAUUUUAAGUUUAAACUUUAUUUAAUUUGAUGUGAAAUAUUAUUAUAUUAAUAAAAUAUUUUUAUUUAAUUUUAGUUCAAAUUUUAAAUAUUAACAUUAAAAAUCGUUUAAUAUUUUUAAUUUUAAAUAUUUUAAAUAUUUCAAAAAUAAAUAGUAUUAUAAUAUUAUUUUAAUAAUAUUAAAUAAUAUAUUUUUAAAUAAUUAAUAUUAAAAAAUAUAUAAAUAUUAUUUUUUAUAAAAUGAAUAUCUUCAAUAAUUUAAUAUUUUAAUUUAAAAAAUAUUAUUUUUAUAUUAUAUUUAUUAAUGUAUUUAUAUUAUAUUUUAAUAAUAAAUAUAAAUAAAAAUAUUUUUGUUGUGAUUUAAUAAUAAAAACUUUUUAUAUAAAAAUAACUAUUUUAAUAAUAUAAAUAUUUUUAAUAUUUUAAUAACAAAUAUUACUAUUUUAUUAUUAUAAUAUUAAUAAAAAUAAUAUUUUAAAAUAUUAAUAUAAAUAAUAAAUAAUUUUGUUUUAAGUGUUUUUUAUUAUUUUAAACAAAGUCUAAGUUUCACCUUCAAUGUAGCCACCCAUUUCUCCCCACCAUAUCUUCAUUCCCAAAGCCAUGGACACGCAGUCACUCCACCCUUUUGACCAAAACUCUUUUGUCUUCUCUCAAUAGUCUACAGCUCUCCAAAUCAGUCUUCAUUGUUGGUCUGCAAAUCUUCAAUAUCCCAUUUCCAAGUUUUUUUUUUUUUUUUUUGGGUUGGUUUGGUCCACGAAUGUUCAUGUAUGGCCUUGUUUGAAAUAUUAAGGCACCUUACCAUUGAUGAUGCCAUCAUUAAUUCACACAAUUCAAUUAUAUAUAGGAUUUGUUUUUUCUAGAUCUAGCUUCAGUUUAUCAAUAUGAGAGGAGUUAUUAGAGCCCAUGCUUUGCCUUUUCUUCUUGUUUUAAGUUUGUUUCCUUUAGCAAGGUCUGUGGAUGGGGAUGAUUACAGUCAAACAAAAAAUCCUGCCCACCUACCUCUUCUAACAAACCUCAUCUUUAGACUGCUUUCAAAUCUAACCAUAAUAUUAAGCAAGAUAAUAGUCAAAAAUUGUGUUUCUAUAGUUCACAAUUUUCUGUCAAAUUGAUGUAAGUGAUUAAAAUUUAAAGUUUAAAUAUAAAAUAUUCAUGUUUGAAUUUUUAUUAUUUUUUAUUGAUAGAUGAUUUGUAAAUUAAAAAAAUUAAAAAAAAGUUCACAAUUUUUUUGCUGUUUUGUCUCAGCAUCAUGCUUGUCACCCUUUCAUCUUUCUUUUUUCUACCUAAAAAGGACCUUUCUCUCAAGUGGUGAAUGCAUGUUUUCUUUCUUUUCGGAGAAGUUGAUUGGAAUGGAGCAUUUAAUUUCUCAAGAAAUUUGUAUUUCUUGACUAAUUGUGUCAAGAAGAGAAAAGCUAUGAAGCUUUAGUCAAGUCAAAGGCCAUUUCCUUUGCACCUAGUCUUGUUCAACUGGUAUGUACAAAAAACUUGUCAUUUCAUAUUCUGAAUUCUUUUUACCAAUGAACCUCACCUAUUUCUUCUUCAGUGGGCAUUGUUUCUUCCUGUUGUUCUGGGAAUUUUUGCUACACAAGGUGGGCUCUAGAAGCUUUUGCCAUUGCAAAUGCUCCAAGGUUAAUCUCUACUAAUUUCUGAUUCAUUUUUCCUUUCUGUUUUCUUCCCAUUUUUUUUGUUUUUUUUCUUUUGGGUAACUGAGCAGUAACCAUGAGCAGAACAAAUCUUUUCCAAUUCAGACCAUCCUUCACCUUCCUCAAUGUUUGUUCCUGAUCAGGUACUCCUCGUGGUUCGUUGAGACAAGGCGGCUCUGAUCUUCAUGUCUGGAAUCAUUGUCUAAUCAUCCUUCCUAUCAAUGCCAUUAUUGCUCGAAUCUUCGCUUUCUUUAUACUUAUGCCAAAGGAGUGCCAUGUGAAACUUUUUUUUUUUGGUUUUUUUUUAUUUUUUGUCAAAAUUUUUUAUAUUUAACAAAUAUUUUUUAUAAAUUUAUUUUUUGAAAUCCGACCUACUUUACAUCAACUUUUUUUUUUUAAUCCUUUUAGGGAUAAAAUAUUAUUUAUAAAUAAUUAAGAUAUUAUCCAUGGUUCAUCUAUUCAUUUUUCAUUAUGUAAAAUUUGAUUAUUUUAACUUUUAUUUCGCAUUCAUUAAAGGUAUUAACGUGAUAUUUUAUAUUUAUUUAUUUUAUUUUUUUUUUGCCAAAAUUUUUUUAUUUAAAUAGAUUUGUGAAAAAAACUCAAUCAAUGUGUUAACGUGGCAUCUUAAUUUGUAUUUUUUAUUUCAUUUUUAAUUCAUAAAUUUUGUAAUAAAUGAGUUGACUUUUUUAAGAUUUAAUUUUUUUUGUUUGUGGGAAUAGCUUGAUAUCAAGAGUAAUAUCAAAUGUUUGGUUGUUUUUUUUUUUUUUUUCAUUUUUCUAUUUUUUUCAUAAAUUUGAUAAAUAAUUAUUUAAAUUUUAUUUUUUGCUGACCCACGUGAUAUUAAGGGUAUACUAUUAAACCAUUUGAUUCUUUUUUGCUCUACUGAUAUUUUCUUUUUUUGCUUUUUGAUUUGAUUAAUAUUUUAAAAUAUUUUAUUUUUUAAAAAAGUGAGACCCAUUAGAUCUAAUUAUUAAAAAUAAAUAUUAAUUUUUCAUUAUUUUUCUCCUUUUAAUUUGAUAAUUAUUUAUUUUAUAUUAUAUUUAUAUAUAUUAUUAAUAAAAUUAUUUUUAAUAUCUUAAUUUAAUAAAAAUAUUAUAGUAUAUAUAAUUAAAAUAUAAUCUAUCUAUAUGUCCAUCUAUCAAUUAUAUAAAUUUGACUCACUUCCAUUAUUGUUUGACCCUUAUUCAAUAUAUGUUAACGUGACACCUUUUUUAUUUUUUAAAACAUUUUUCCUUUUUUUACAAUUUUUUUUGCUUUUCAUAUAGAUGAUUUUGUUAAAAAAAAAAAUUUGGUUGAGGUGUCCCAUGGGAUCCCAAUUCGUUUUUUUUUUCCCAUUUCAAUGUUUUUUUUUUUUUUUACAAAAAUUUGCAAUAAAAUGAGCUGGUGGAUAGACAAAAUAAUUUAUAUUUAAUAAAUUUCAAUUCGACUUAAUAGAUAGCAAGUAAUUUUUCUCUCUUUUUUUGUUUUUCAUGUUUUUUUUGUUUUUUGUUUUUUUUCAUUUAUUAUUUUUAAUUAUAUCUGCUUUGUAAAAAAAAUAAUGCUAAUAGAGUUGUUCACAUAAUACCUUGCUUCUUUAUUUCCUUUGAAAAUUUUUAUCUAUUUUUUGUUUUUUAAUUAAAUCAAUUUUACAAUAAAAUUAAACACUUUUGUGAAAAAUCGAUAUCAAAUUAAUUCAAGUUGAUUUUUUAAUAAAAAUUAUGAUGGAUCAAAAAUAGAUUUAGUCAUUUACCCCAAGCUAUCUUAUGAUAUAUAUAUUAUUUAUUUAAUUUUAUAUUUAUAUAUGUAUUCAUUGUUUUUUGUUUAAAACUUGGUAUUAAGUGGAUCUCACACAUAAAAAAUGAAAAUUUUAUUUUUUAUAAUUUAUAUUUGUGAGAAUAAAAAGCCAAUUUAGGUAUCUACAUUCACUUCUAUUUGGGUUUUUUUAUAUAUAUUUGGCCUUUUUUUUCUAAAAUUAAAUAAAUAAAAAAAAGAAAUGAAUAAAAACGAUAAAAUAAAAAAUUUUAACCCGCGAGAAUGCACAAAUGAAAAUGACAAAAUAACCUAUACUUCACGGGUUUUAACUCGCUCUGAUACUAUGGGGUUGGACAUUUUUAAAAUCAAAAGUUGAGUCAUAUUUUUUUCUAAAGUGAAUUAGGGUAAAAGUCAAAGUUUUAGGUUGUACCACUUUUACUGAAUUUGGUAUAUAUAAAAAUAUAUUUGUUAUUAUUUAUUUAAUUUUAUAUCUACAUAUUUUAUAUUAUAUUAAUAAAAUUAUUAUUUAAUACUUUAAAUUGAAAUAUUAACUUAAUAAAAUAUAUUAUAUUUAUAUAUAAUUAAGACAUAAUUUAUAUUAAAAAUUAUUAUUUUAUGAAUAUUUUACUAAAUUAAUUUUAAAUUUAAUCAAUUAUAAUUCAUGAAUAUAUAAAUCAAAUAAAAUAUAAUAUUCUAAUAUCAAAUAAAAAUUAAAUCAAAUAAAAAUCUGACCUUAUCUAUUAUAAUUCGCCUCGGCAUCCCACCUAAUUUAUAAAUAAGAGUCCAAGAUUUGAACCUAAGGUUCUUUAAUUUGGGUCCACGACCUCUAAAGGCCUGAAGGACGAGCUAGUGAUUGGCAACUGGCAAAUGGGUGGCUACAUCGAAGUUGAGGGUUGGAAUCCAAAGAGAAAAUUAUUAGGGAAGAGAAAAAAAUUAAAAAACUCGAAAAUCGAUUUGUAAUGCUUUGUUUUUAUUGAUUUUUUUUUUCAAUUCGAAUUAAAUUUAAAUAUAAUUAUAUAUUAAAUUUUAAAUUAAAAUGUAAAAAAUUGAAAAAAAAAGAAAAGAAUUGAAUUAUAUAUUUUAAAUUUUUAUAAAAUAAAAUAAUAAUUUUAUAUAAAAAUAUAUUAAUAAUUUAUAUUAAAAUAAUAUAUAAAAAUUAAUAAAUUAAUAAAUAAAAUUUGAUUCGAUCAAAUUAAAUUUUAAAAUUUUGUAAUAUUAUAUAAUAUAAAAAAAUAAAUCGAAUCUGAUUAUUCUCACUCUUAAAAGUAUCCCUUCGUCAGCCGGUCAUCGUACAUAAAAGGCCGAACAAACCCAUUACCAAACACACACCAGUUUGUAGCAUUUACACGCUUCCAAACAGGCCUUUAUGACAUCUAACGCCCUUACAUCUCCGUCAAAGGAUUCCUACGUGGACAAUCCACAAAAUCAUUUAUUUUGAAAUAUUUUAAAUUUUUUUUUCUUGUCCUAGGUCACAGGCAAGGUAGCCCGGACAUGACAGACAUGUUAUAUUACCACUUUGACGAAAAAACAAAACAUCCUCAAAAGAAAAUCAAAUAAAAUUUGUAAUAAUAUAAAUUCCGUUUCGAUUCCGUCUGAUAAAAAUAAAAGCAUCCACUUCCCUCUACUUCUCUUCAUCUCCUUUCGCUUUUUGGCGGUUUGGGCUUUUCUCCUUCGAACAUUCGCUUAAUUUUUUUUUUUUAACAUAACAUCCCCACACUAUCUUUCUCAAAGGUCAGAUCUUUUUCUUUUUUAAUUUAGAUUUUAAAUCUGUUUUUUUUACUAGAUUUUACCAGAUCUUUUUUCCUUUUUAUUUUUUUUAAGAAUUUUCUUUUGAGCUGGAAAUUGAGUAGAUCGGAGAGUGAUAAGUGGUUGGCGUUUGGUUUACGGAUGAAUGAGGUAUGUUUGGUUUUUGUUUUGUUUUAUGUGUUUUUUUUUUUUUUUUAGUUGAAGGAGUUGUGUUUUUAGUGUCUGUUUGGUUGUUGAGAAAACAUCGGGAAAAGGAAACUGGAAAAGAAAAAAUCUUUCUUUUUUGUCUGGUCCGUUUUAUUAUGCUUAUUUAAAUGGAUAAGCUUCUCCCAUUUUUUUUUUCUCUUCUUCUUGCAUAGAUUAGAAAAAAAAGAAAAACUUUAGCUGAACCAAACAGCUAGAUCAGGCCCACUUCACUGUACAUAUAUACUUUUUAUUUCUCUCAGAAAUGUAAGUAAAAAAUUGCAAAAUCGAUUCUUUUUAUAAAAUUUUCCUUUCAGUUGAUCAUAAAAAACUUUUUUUUUUUAAUUUUAAAUCCUAGUUGAAAUUCCACAGUCUUGAUUUUUAUCCUUUUCAUGUUUUGUAUUAAGAUUUUACUCUUUUUUUUAUUGAAAAAUUCUUGAAUGACUGCGAGCUUGAAAAACAUCGAACAAAUGUUUCUUAAAAUCUAAAAUGGGGUUUUGUUUCUUGGUGUUUGAAAGUAGACUUAUGAUCCAUUACUACGUAUUUUUUGUCACUAUCAUUUCGUUUAACAUUAAAAGGUAAGAGGAGUUAUGAGCUUAUUGCAUUAUAAGGGUAAAUGGCUAUUGAGUUGACAGUAGAACUGGCUAUGUCAUGUAGUUUGCUCAUGAGUUAAAAUGCGAAGUCAAGAAGCAAGAAAUACAGGAAUGAUGAAGGAAUGUUAAGAGAACAUGAAGAAGAACUUUAGAUUCUUUUGUUGUUGUGUACACUAUGUUUAAGGCCAAUUUUGACACCCCAAAAAAGGAAGAAAAAGAUAUUGUCUUUGAAUUGAGUUUAUUAGUUGUAAGAUGGCUAGUAUCAGGUGCAAAAGUGUUUAUUUCUUUAUUUUAAAUUCCUUCUUUGGGUUAAUUGAUAGAAUUACGGAUGUUUGUUUGCCCGGGUGUAUUAAGCCAGCCAUUUUCUGAUUUCCAGCAGACGAUAGUUUUAUAAAUUUUUUUCCAUUUGAGUGUAGGGAAAAUUUGGAUAGAUGAUUGCAGGUUUAUGUAGUACAAGUUAAGGUUAUAAAAUGAAAACAGAUCGGAAACAACAUUUGAUAAAGAAGCUUUGCAACAUGAAACGUCAAAGGGUAAGGGAGUUUCUUCUAUCUUUUCAAUUGUUGAUUUAUCAUUCUCUUCAAUUUUGAAAUUCUUAUGCAUACCAUCCUUAGGUUUUGCAAGUUGCAGAGCACUGCGUAUAUGUUGUUUAUUUAAUUAUGAAAUUUGAUCUAUUAAAUUUUGGGAGCAACACAAAACAUAGAACGCCAACCUCAUCCAAAUUAAUUAUUUCUUUCUUUUUUCAUGUUUUUGGUAGGUCUCUAUCUCUCUUUUAAGUUGGGCCUACCCAUGAUAGUUUCUUAAAAGAAAAAAUCAAUGUUCAAAUAAUUCAUCCUUCUUUUUAUGCUUCUCUGUUUUGCCAUUGAUGCUUAGUAACCUUUGCACUCUCAGGCUGCCCCUCAACAUCUUUUUUUUUGUGGCAUUCUCCUUAAAUAAGCUUGUAAAUUUGAUAAAUCCUACAUUACUCCUCCCUUCUUCCCCGGCUUUUGUUCUCUGGAUAUAGGUAGAUCAAUCCAUUGUUCCUGGCUUGGAAGAUGAAGCAACUGAGGUUGCGCAUUUACUUGCGGAACCUAAAAGUGAGCAUGUUUCACGAGAUGGAGUCCUAUGUUUUGGGAAGGAUAAUUUAGAGAAGCACUUGAAAAUGGAGGACUUCUCUUGUGCCUUCGAUUAUGGCUGGAAAAUCAAUUAUGGUAAUGCUCUUAAUGACUUGUCGAUAUUCUUUUUGCUGAUGCUUUCAUUUCAAAAAUUAAAAGGAAAUUGGUCUUUGAAGUGCUUCUAAUUUGUGAAUGGUAGCGUGCAGAAGGAUCUAGAGUGUUUGAUAAGUGUUCUAUGGUGGGUCAGUAUCAUCCCUUAAAAAACAAACUCAUAGGAUCUUACUUUGGGUGCAUAGCUAUAUCCAUGGGGGGAGAGGGAAUCAAAACAACAUAGUAGGAGCAAAGAGCAUGAUUUCUAGAUGCAUGAACUUGCUAACAUGCUUUUGUAGAAUGAUUGAGUGUAAAUUUGCUCUGUCCUUAGUUCUGCACAUGCACAAGCAACAUCUAUUAUGCCGUAAAAUAAGUAUUUCUGGUGAUAUUGGGCUAUUAACUUGAAUUGUUUGAACUGAUAUAAUUGUGCUUGGUAUCUUUCUCUAAUUUGCUUUAUGGUCAAAUCAUUUUCCAUUAGUGGUGUGAAUAACUUAAAAGUUAUUGUAAUUUGUUUAAAGUCCUGAAAAUUAUGAGUUGUGCAUGGAUGUGGGGACAGGCUUGGACUAGAAGUUCUAAUACUUGCUUUCAAAUUAAUUAAUUGGCAUAAUCAUUUGAAGAUAUGAAAAUUAUGAGUCACACAGGGACGUGGGACAGUCUUUGAGUAGUGUUCUAAGAUUUGAUGUGUGUUUCUUGUUGACAAAUGUUUCUCAAAUGUUGCACUAAGGAUAAGACAAUGCAGUAGUAGAAACUAGAUAUUGAGUCACCAACUUUACAAGUCCACUGUUCAACACAAGAUUGCUUUUGUUCAGAUUUUAAUUUGCAAUUUAUAUAGCUAUUCUUCUGAUGCUUGUGUACCUUUUGUGAUUCUUCAUAAGGUGGGCUGGAUUCUAUCCAUGGUCAAGGAGGAGAUGAUUUGAAGCUUGAAGUAUGUAUUGAUUAUUUUUGAAGCUUUCCUCUCACAUCCAAGUCAUUGUUUGAUGCAUUGUUUUCUUUAAAAUUUCUGUCUAAUACUUUAUAUGUGUUUGCUAUUGCUUUUCCUUCUUUAAUUUUUUGUUUAUACUUUUGUAUUGAAUUUCGUAUUUACUAUAUGCAAACAUGCAUAGGUAAUAUGCUGUCAUCUAAAUACUGCUUUAGUAGGUUCUUGAUGGAUUGCUGGAUGAAGUUGAUGAAGUGGAUGAUAUUCAUGCAGCCCAUGAUAUCUCUGGUGCAUGUGAAGAUUUUCUUUUGGGUGAGUCAUAUCUUUGCUUGUGUUAAUUGCCUACCAGUUGUGUGCCAUAACACAUGAUCCUCAUAUGUUGUGUUUCCUUUUUUUUUCUUCUCUGUUUGCCUUUUGAGUGCAGAUAUUGAAUUUCCUGAAAAGCAUUCUGUAUUGGAUUGUGGUCCUCGUGAAGGAUCAACUUUGCGUAACUCAAGUUCAGAAAGUCAUUCACCAGGAUUUAGUGGAAGUAGUAAUAGUGCUGGUGGCAUAUCAGAAUCAUCAAUUCCAACUGUUCAAGAAUCCAACAGCAAGAAUGGUGUGCUUGGGAAUAUGGUCAGUUGUGAUUUACAUCGUAACUUUAGGAGCAAAUAUGGGUGUCAGGGUCCGGUUUUGGACACCAUUCGACCUACUAUAGAAGAUGUGCAAGAUCUUGAUGUGUCUGAUGAUGAUGAAGAACCUUUAGUAAGUUUUAUAUUGUCUAAUAGGAAAGUAAAAGGCUCUGUUAAAGUAACAAAAGGUGGCACUCUUCUCAGACAGAAGAGACUGCGGAAGCCUACCAGGAGGUAUAUUGAGGAAUUUUCUAGAAAUUCUACUACUGGAAAGAAUAAGUGCCUUAAAGUCAGAUCACAAGAAGAAUUUCCUCAAGUGCCAUCCAAAUCCCAACCUCGGAGAGGACGGCCCAAGAAAAUUGUGCCGAAAUUGGUAGGAGAAGUACCACUAUCUAGAAAUAGUUUCCUCUUGCCUCCCAGCCUAUCUUUUGUCCUCUCUUUGAUAGCUUGUUUAUGUUUCUAUUCAUCAUUUUCAUUUAUCUAGAUAUUGGCCUUGAAUACUGUGGAGCCAUGAUGACAACCAGAAAAACUCAUAAGUAAUGAGGAAAAAAACAAAUAUUGAUAAAUGCUAGCUGCAAAUUGGUGAUAGUUGCCUUCAAAUACCUAAAAAGCCAUUGGGCAUAAGGAGAUGGUUAUUUCACAUUCCUCUCUACUCUCUUGUAACACAUUUGUUGACAUCUUGGCAGGGCUUAUUAUGCAUUUUGGUAUAGGAAUUAAUUAUGGAAUCAUAUUGGCCCUGAUACUUGCUUAAUGAUGUGAGGGUUUCUUAUAUGAAAACUAUUGAUGAUAAGUGACUAUCAAGGAUGUGAUACUUUUGUUCUCACUUGCACAAGUAGAUAACAUUCUUGUUCCUUGAUUUUUCCUUUUGUCUUUGGAAGUAGUGAACCAUACACCUUUCUUAAGCAUGGUAACGUAAAAUUUUAAGAGUAUUUUCUUGAUUUCUGUGCAGGAGCUUGAAUCUGAUUGUGAGUUUUCUGCUUCUGAAUCUGAAGAUCAGCAUAAGAGAACCAAAAGAUCCAAAACGGCAUGUGAUAGGAGGAAGCAUCAAACGAUGUGGACCCUUGCAGAGGUGAUUAAGCUGGUUGAUGGAAUUGCUCAGUAUGGUGUUGGAAGAUGGACUGAUAUAAAAAGGCUUCUAUUUGCAUCAUCUGCUUAUCGAACCCCUGUUGAUCUGAGGGUACCUCACUGCUUUAUCCAGUCAUAUGGUGUCAUCUUGUUUUAAAACUUGAAUUCUUUUUAAAUAUGGAUACUCUCUACAGGAUAAAUGGCGAAAUCUUCUAAGAUCUAGUUCUGCACAUGGACACAACAGGAGAGAGGUUAGCUUUCUGUUUUUCUUUUUCCUUCUCCAUUUGCACUAUCAUUUGCCUCCACCUCAAAAGGGUGGUAUUCCUCACUUCAAAUUUUGUUAUCUUUAAAUUAUUCUAUUUGUUUAAUUUAUGUUCUCUUGAUUGCAAUUAUCUCUUUAAAUUACUGAGAGAAUGGAAUCUGAAUUGCAAAUGCUUGGAGUCUUUGUAUUUAUAUCACCAAGGGGGCAAGAGCUUGCUGCUGACCUUGGAUUCUUAAGGAUGCAAAUUAUUGUUUCAAGUAAUAUAACUCCUGUCAUAAUGCAACAAGAGUAACAUGUUUGAAACACUCCCUUGUGAUAAAAAUAUGAAAUUGUAAGGGAUGCGUCGGUAGGACAAAGAUUUACUUGUGGUCUUCUACCUCUCAAAUUGCAUAAUCGGUAUUGAUCAGAGUAUGUUUCAUUAAGAGUGUUUUAUAGUGCAUCUUACGGUAUAAUUAUAAUUUAAAAUGUUAGUUGCAGGUUCAGAAUAAUGUGAAGCAUGCUGUACGUCCCCUACCAAAGCCUGUGGUACGCCGUAUCCGUGAACUGGCUACCAUUCAUCCAUACCCAAGGGUUCGAAGCUCAAAAAUUUCAUCUGUUGAUUAUGUUCCUUCAUCCAAACAACCGACAACUAAAGUUGCUCCAGUUUACUCUCCUGCAAGAAAUUUACGUGGGAAGAACUGUUGUUGAAGAAGCAUUUGUGUAAUUUGCAAUAAAGCUACUGCAAUUCGAGUUUAGUUGUAAAACAGCAGUGUUCUUUCCUACAACAGCCCCUUAACAUCUGCACAUAUAAAUGCUCUCAGAUCAUUAAGAGUAUCCGGUAAAUGUUGCACUAGUGAAAACAAAUUUUACAAUUUUAAUAGCCAGGAAUAUGGCUAACUGAAGUCUAAAGAGUAGAUUUUCCUUCCAUGUUGUUGCAUGUUACUAUCAUUAUUGACUUCUCAAGUGUUACCGUCCAACUUUCAUACUGUCGGAUUUCCAGGGACAAAUAUAGGUUCCCUUGCUCUCAAGUGAAGCAUUUAGUCAAAAGCAAGCCAAGCCUUGGCCAGCGCCAGAGAGGGCUUGGACCAUGGGGUAAAACAAUUUAGAGGUUUCCUUGAGCCCUCCCUGUAGAAUUGUGAUGUUGCCAUUCUAGGAUUUGUAGGUGAAUAUUGUGGCUGCCACCAAGUCCCAAGCUUUCAAACCCUAGCCCGGAGGAAAAGGCAUGAAACGUGACAGUCUCGGGGUUGGUCCAACUAGGCAACGAUUUUACUGUUGGUUAUUCUACCCUGUGGUACACGGUCAAAGUUUUAGCAAGAAACUAUGCACAGGGAAUUCGGGAAACAUGAAAGGAAAUACCACAAUUCACAAGUCAAUGUAAAAAAAAAAGAAAAGAAAACCAUACAAAGCUUAUAUACAGCUAGAAAAAGUAUAGCCAACUAUCCCAUUCAUGGUACCUACAAUGUUAUUAACAAGUUCUUGUAGCACAGAAACGAUAGCAUUUAUCAGAGUAAAUAUGAUAUCCACACCAUGCAUAGCAGUUAGUUAAUGGUACUAUUUUUAUCCACUUCCAUCAUCACCGUUAUCACCAUUAUCUGGAGAAUUGUUACCCCAAUCAUCGUAUUUUUGUCUAGGAAUGUUGUGGUGGUUGUCUAUGUUUUUCUCCAAGCUGUACGCAACCGAUCUGUUCCUCCUUCCUUCGACAGCUUUUCCUUUCCCAACAUGAUGUCGUUGCUCUCGUCCAUAUAUUCCACCGAUCAUGGCUCUCCUUUUCCUUCCCAUGCAACUAGAACUCACCAUGAUCACAACCAGAAACAGCACCAAAGCUUCAUGCCCAUAAAAAAGGAAUAACCUAAAGUAACAUAUCUGUCUAAUCCCUUAGAUCAGGUUUAUUAUGUUACUUUCAUCAAUCUGUUCCAUUGAUGCUUGUAGGAUUGAUUGGGCUGUGAAUUACUUAUCUAAAACAAAUCAAGGAGAGUUUGUGAUUAUAAAACACUUUCUGCUAAAAUGAGUAACAAAGUUGAAUCAUAGUUAUUCUCAACAGCGUUGUUGUCCUCGUUGUGAAUAUCAUUGUCAAAACUUUAGGCUUCCACAUACCAGAAUCUCCAAUCACAUUGACAUAAUCUGGCACGAACUAAGAGAACAAUCUAAAUUAUCAUUCUACCAACUCUCAGCCUUGGAGAAUUUUAAUUGGGUAAAGAUUGUAAAAAUGUUGCAAUAUUGAAGCAUUUCUAUUACCAGAAGCUUCCAUCUGAAGCAAGUGGGUGAAGUAAUUUCCGGAAUUCGUGUCAGCUAUAGGUUAUAAUCGAGUUUGGAGCCAAACCCAUUUUUCGACUAAAAUAUCCAAUGUCCUAACCCACCAAAAGGACUUACUUUCAAGGUUCCAACAUUCACUUGUAAAUAAAAAUCUUCCGGUUCUAUAUUUGGACCUAACCAACCUGUGUCUAGGAAGCAUUUUUAAAAUCAGGUCCCAUCCCAACUCAUAUGUCUAAGAUUAUACGGUGCAGAAAGUGUUAAAUGAUGAUGUAAAUGUUGGAGCCACCAUGAAGUGCCACUUGAAUACUUGAUUGUUUCACAAUGGUGGUCAUGAAUAGUUCAUGUAUUGGUGAAGUACUUCCACUUAUUAUCUUUGGGACAGAAAAAUAAAAAACGAAAGAGAAAAGUGUAGAAGAUGUGUUUAGGACUGCUAAUGUGGAUUCAUGAAUGUUGCUUAGUUGAAUGUUUCAUGUUGUUCCUGUUUUUUUGGUGUUAUUCAUGCUGAUGGUCAUGGCUUAAUCUUAGGACUAUGAUUUUAGUGGGUAGUUAUUAAUUAGGCUUUAAAUUGUAAUGUUUAUGAUGUUAAGAAAUGGUGACAGUGAGUAAAGUUUUCUUUGCUUCAAAAAUAACAACAUUUGGUAUCAGAGCUAUUUUCUUAAGGGAUUUGUGUGUGAAAUUGACGCGUCAUGAAAGCUGAAGCCAAUUUCUCCGUAAUUGCUUCGGCGAUGUUCGAGGAGACAACUACCAGAUUUAGGCAGUACGUAUGGAGACAUACUUGGAAGCUUUAGAUCUUUGAAAAGCAGUGGAAGAAGACUAUGAAAUUUUUGCACUUUCAAACAAUCCCAACAUGGCACAGAUUAAAGCACAGAAAGAAAAAAAGACAAAGAAAUCAAAGGCAAAGGCCUGCUUGUUUGCUGCAGUUUCAUCCAUCAUCUUCACUCGUAUCAUGUCUCUGAAUUCAGCAAAAGAGAUAAGGGAUUACUCAAGAAUGAAUAUGAAGGAGAUGAAAGAAUUAAAGGGAUGCAAGUCCUUAACUUGAUUAGGGAAUUUGAACUUCAAAGAAUGAAAGACUCCGAGACGAUUAAAGAUUACUCCGACAGGUUUCUGAGUAUCGCAAACAAAGUAAGGCUUCUUGGAUAUGAAUUUACUGACUCAAGAAUUGUAAACAAAAUUCUUGUUACAGUACUUGAAAGAUAUGAAUCAACCAUCACUGCCUUGGAGAAUACAAAGGAUUUGUCAAAAAUUUUCUUAGCAGAAUUGCUUAACGCUUUGCAAGCACAAGAACAAAGAAGACUGAUGAAGGAAGAUACAACAAUUGAAGGAGCUUUGGUAGUCAAGCAUCAAAAUGUGGCCAAAAGCAAAAGAAAGAAGAAAAAGGAUUUUGAAGGAAAUGGGGCAAGUACUGCAUCAGCCAAUGCAAAAGGAAAGAAUGAAAAUCAGAAGAAAUCCUAUUCACCUUGCCAAUAUUAUGGAAAGAAGGGUCAUCCUCCAUUUAGAUGCUGGAGAAGACCUGAUGCUAAAUGCAUUAAAGGUAAUCAGAUGGGGCAUGAAGCUGUUAUCUGUAAAAAUAAAAAUAUGCAACAUGGUGAAGAUGCAAAGAUUACUAAUCAAAAGGAGGAGGAUCACCUGUUCGUAGCUACAUGUUUCUCCGGCAUCAAAUCAAGUGAAAGUUAGCUUAUAGAUAGUGGUUGUACUAACCACAUGACACAUGACAAUGAUCUAUUCAAGGAACUAAGCAAUGCAAACUUAUCAAAAGUUCAAGUUGGUAAUGACAAGUACAUAACUGUGAAAGGAAAAUGAACAGUUGCAAUUUUAACUUGUUUAGGUACAAAGUUCAUUUUUGAUGUAUUAUAUGUCCUUGAAAUUGAUCAAAACUUGUUAAGUGUUGGACAACUAAUUGAAAAGGGUUAUAAAGUUAUGUUCGAAGAUAAAAGUUGCUUGAUUAAAGAUGCAGUUGGCCAAGAUAUUUUCAAAGUAAAAAUGAAAGGGAAAAGCUUUGCUCUAAAUCUAUUGGAGGAAGAGCAAACUACUUUCCUAUUCAAAGAAAAUAUCACUGAAGUAUGGCACAAGAGGCUCGGGCACUAUCAUCAUCAAGGGCUGCUGUAGAUGAAAUCCAAAAAGAUGGUAAAUAAUUUUUCAGAACUUGAUGAUCAUAUUCCAAAUUGCAAAGCAUGUUAGUUUGGAAAGCAAAGUAGGAAACCAUUUCCCAAGGCAACAUGGAGAGCAUCAAAGAAGUUACAAUUAAUUCAUACUGACAUUGUAGGCCCAUAAAGAAUGUUUUCUCUGAAAGGUAGUCUUUAUUAUGUUGCAUUCAUUGAUGAUUUCACCCGUAUGUGUUGGAUCUUCUUUUUAAAAUAUAAGUCAGAGGUGGCUCAAGUCUUCUGGAACUUUAAAGCCAGAGUUGAGAACGAGAAUGGCUGUAGAAUUCAAACUCUCAGAUCAGACAAUGGCAAAAAGUACACCUCUGAAACAUUUACUCAUUUUUGUGAAGAAGCAAGCAUCCAACAUCAAUUAACCAUUCCAUACACUCCACAAUAAAAUGGAGUAAGUGAGAGAUGGAAUAGAUUUAUAUUGGAGAUGAUACGAUGUAUGCUACAUAAGAAGAACCUGUCAAAGUAAUUUUGGGCUGAAGCAGUAAAUACUGCUAUUUUUUUGUAAAACAGGCUUCCCACAAGAGCAGUGAAGGAUCAAACACCCUUUGAGGUAUGGUAUGAUUAUAAACCAUCUCUGAAUUUCCUUAAAAUAUUUGGAUGUUUAUGCUUCACUUAUGUUCCACAGACCAAGAAAGAUAAAUUAGAUAAAAGAGCACUUCUAGGCAUCUUCAUUAGCUACAAUUUAGUUGCAAAAGCUUAUAAAAUUUUCCAGCCACAAACUGAAAAAAUUAUUAUAAGUAAGGAUGUGCACUUUAUGAAAGAUGAAGAGUGGAACUAGGAUGAUGCAAAAAAGAUGGAUCCAACCUUAAAAGAGCACAAGCUCAAGUUUCCUAGCAUUGGAGACUAUGAGAAUGAAAUGGUGGAUGACAGUUCUAUCAGAGGUACAAAACUACUUUCUGAUGCUUAUCAAAGAUGCAAUAUUACUGUGUGUGAACCUACAAAUUAUGAAAAGGUCAAGACGGAUCAAAAUUGGAUUGUUGCAAUGAAGAAGGAGCUAUUCAUGAUUGAAAGGAAUAAAACAUGAGAGUUGGUUGAUCGACCCCAAAAUAAAAAAGUAAUUGGAGUCAAAUUGGUGUACAGAGCUAAGCUUAAUGCUGAUGACUUAAUCAAUAAGUAUAAAGCUAGAUUUGUGGUCAAAGGAUAUACUCAAAUACUCGGUGUGGACUACUCAGAUACCUUCGCACCAGUCACUAGACUUAACACCAUCAAGCUUUUACUUAUCGUUACAGCAUAAAAGAAUUGGAAAGUGCACCAAUUAGAUGUCAAGUCGGCAUUCUUGAAUGGUUUUUUACAAGAGAAGAUUUAUGUAGAACAACCAGAAGGUUAUGUCAAGGAAAGAGAAGAAGACAAGGUUUAUCUUCUUAAAAAGGUACUUUACGGAUUGAAGCAAGCUCUAAAAACUUGGUACAGUAGGAUUGAUGAAUAUUUAUAGAACUUGGGAUUUGUCAAAAGCUUAUCUGAAUCAACAUUAUAUGUCAAGCACAAUGGAGCUAACAUUCUUAUCAUCUCACUAUAUGUGGAUGACUUAUUUGUGAUAGGAAACAACACAAGUAUUAUGGAGAAGUUUAAGUAAGAGAUGAUGGAGUUUUUUGAAAUGAUAGAUCUUGGAUUGAUGACCUUUUUUCUU
rnacentral:lncRNA from 1 species